UCUUUUUUUUUUUUUUUAGUUUUUGGAAGUCAAAUUUUUUUUCUUAUUUUAUUUUGUUUAUCUAUUUUAUUUAUUUUUAUUAUACAUUUCAAAUUAAAUUUUAGAUUAGUUUUUCAUAGAUUUUGUCUUUUUCUUUAAUUUUUUUCUUUUUUAAGUUUUAUAUUAUUUUCUUAUUGUAUUUUGUUUAUUAGUUUUAUAUUUGAAAUGUAUGUUUAAUAUAUUAAUUUUACAUAGAAUUUUAAAUUAAGAUUUUAUAAUUUUUUAUUUUAGUUUAUUUAAUUUAUUUAUUUCUUAUUAUUAAUUUUUAAAAGUUUGUAAUGUAUAUUGAAAUGUUCUAUAAUAUAUUUGUUAAAAUUUUAAAUAUCAGUUUUAUAUUUUUUUUAAAUUUUAAAUGUAUAUUUCUCAAAUUAAUUUUAAAAAUUAAAUAUUAUUUUUUAAAUAUUAACCAUAUUUUUAAUAAUAUAAAAUAUUAAAAUAAUUUAAAGAUAUGAUCUUUCAAAUUUAUUAUUUGUUUUUUAUUUUUAAUAAUAUAAAACAUUUAAACAUUUAAAUUUUUAAAUAAAAUUUGUAUAAAAAAUUUUAAAAAUGUUAAAUAUUUUUAAAAAUAAAUAAAAAUUAUAAAUUUCAAAAUUCUAUGUAAAAUUUAAAAAAUAUUUAAAAUCAUUUAAAAUAUUAAAAAAAUAUUUUAAAUCAUUUUACAUGUUUUAAAUGUUUUAUAAUAUUAAAAAUAUAUUUAAAAUUUAAAAAAUAAUUUAAAAAUAUAUUUUUAAUAUUUAUAAAAAAUUAUAUUAUAAAACAUUUUUAAAAAAUCCAUUUCAAGUUUUUCGAAAUAAAUAAAAUAAAUAAGGACUUAAAAAAGAAAAAAGAAAGUCAAAACUUUAAAAAAAAAAAGCUGAAACAAAUAAGUUGGCUGUCAGACUUGAAAACUGGUUGCGCCAAAUUAUUUGGCUCCACCAGGAAAUGGAAAAAUUGCUACGGGGCCCCCUAUACUCUAAAAAAUCGUAGUAUUUUGGUGGAGCCAUUCUUUAUGGCUCCACCUCUUGGUUCUCUUCUAUAUAUAGAGUGGUGUAGUUGUUGUGUUAAGUGGAAAAGUUCAAAAAAUUUGUUAAAAAUGAAUAAUGAGGUGUUUUUGGUGUAUGUUGUUUUUGAUGGUGAAAUUGUAGAAGGUGAUAUUGGCUGUGUAUUUCAAGGCCGGCAAAGAGUAGGUUUGCGAUUCAAAAAAAUGUAAAACUAGCAGAAAUGAAAAGGAAGAUCAGUGCGAAAAUAGUUAUUCGUUGUGGAAGGGCGAUGUCCAAAUUAUUUUACAAGUUUCCAAUCUCUACAGAUCCGUUCAAAUUUUGUGCGAUGCAACUGUUAGAUGAUGAUGACUUGGGCACUAUGAUGGAAAUAUGGUGGUCCACUGGGAGUUUGAACCCCCAACCAGUUGAAUUAUUUGCUGAGUUAGCAGACUUAGAGCCUGUUGAGAAUGUUAGCCCAAAAAGUCAACAUCGCGAAUUUGAUUUUGAUCUUAAUGUUGGAUGGACAGGCCAAUUAGAAUGCGGUGGAACGUCGCAGAUACCCAAAAUUCCUAAUUAUGGUGGGAGUUCGUACAACAACUCAACCCUCGGUCCUUGUUUACAAAUACAUUUGAAUGUGAUAAUAAGCACUAAGACAAAUGUCAGAGAAAUGACCAAUAAUGGUGAAGAUUCUGAUCAAGACGUUGAAGGUUUUAGUGACCCCGAUGUUGAUGAGGUUUCGGACGAUAUCGAUGAUGAAGGCCCGGAGGAGGUUGAAGAUGUUCACGACCCUUCAUUUUGUAACCCGAGUCAUGGUAUUAUUUUAUGAAAUGAACCUGAGGGCAACAUGUUGAACAUAGAUCCAGAUGCAGCGCAUGCAUCCGAGUUCCCUGAGUACGCUGAUAUAGUACCUGCUCAUAGAUUGGCGUCAAAUUCACAGUUUGACGAGUUGUUCGUUGGGCAACAGUUCGAGAACAAGGCGGAUUGUGUGUUUGCCAUCAAACAAUACAACAUGAAGUUGUCGAUUGAUUACAAGGUUGCCAAAUCUACACCGACAUUAUACGUUGGGGAAUGUUAGAGAGCCGACGAUGGGUGUGGUUGGUGAGUUCGUGCUGUAUUUAUACAGAGGACUCAACAGUGGCAAAUACGAAAAUUAGAAGGGAGUCAUACAUGUAUUGUCGCACGCAUGUCUCAAGACCACUGAAAAUUGGAUGCCAAAAGUAUUUGCAACUGCAUCAUGCCACUGGUGAAAGAUAGCCCAAUCAUUCCUGUGUCGACAUUGAUUGCAGACAUGCAAGCUCGAUUUCAGUAUAGAGUGUCAUACAGGAAAGCGUGGUGGGCGAAACAAAUGGCCAUUCAAUAAUUGUACGGCGACUGGGAUGAGUCAUACAAUGAACUUCAGAGUUGGAUUUCAACAAUGGUAGAGUAUGUCCCAGGAACUGUCGUGGACUUGCAAACGUUGCCUUAUAGAGGCCCUAAUGGAGAAUUAGAACUGGAAAAAAGAGUGAUUCGUCUACUGUUCUAGACUUUCGAUCCAUGUGUUAGGGCCUUCUCCCACUCAAACCGGUAGUGUAAGUUGAUGGAACAUGGCUUUAUGGAAAAUACAUGCAGAUACUUCUGAUUGCGGUUGCAUAAUACGGUAAUGGAAAUAUACUACCAAUCGCUUUUGCCAUCGUAGAGUCGGAGAACUCUGAAUCAUGGGCAUAUUUCAUUUGAAAAUUACGGAGACAUGUUGUCAAGCAAGACAACAUUUGCAUUAUAUCUAACAGAUCGAAGGGUCUUGUUGCUACAAUUCGGCAAUCGGAGGUUCCGUGGAAGUCUGUCUAUUGUAUUCGUCACAUCGCUGUGAACUUCCACAAUGAGUAUAAGAACAAAGACUGGCGUAAACGAAUUAUCAACAUGGGUAAAAAUAUCGUAUUUAAAUUCAUAUUUGUAAUUAUUUUUAGUCCAUUUCCUAAUUUUAACGUAUUUUAUCGAAAUAUAUACAUAAGGUACGAGCUGGAACCACAUCGAUUUAGACAUAAGUUGGCGAGGUUAGAGACUGAUAUGGCGGGCUGCAAACCUUCUCUUACACAGUGGUUGAGUAGCAUGGAGCCGUGGCAAUGGGCUCAAUGUUUUGACGAGGGGUACCGUUAUGGCCAUAUGACAACUAACCUUGUUGAGGCCGUUAACUCCGUCUUAAGGCGUACGCGUCACUUGCCAAUUUUAGCUAUUUUUUUAGCCACAUUUUACAGCUUAGCAACCUUAAUGCCAAAAAUGGGGUUGAAACAAGCAAAACAGUUAGAGGCAGGACACGUGUACGUCGAAAAAAUCAGAGAUGCCGUGAAAGAUAACACUGAAAGGGCUAGGUUGAUGAAUGUAGAACUAUAUUCUCAAAUUUGGAAACUUUUCAAGUGACAGAGUAUAUCAGUCGUCGGUCAGGGAUCCCGCCACGGUCCUAUGGAGUUGAUUUCCGAAACAGGCGGUAUGAGUGCAGGAUGUUCCAAGCACUACGGUACCUGUGUGCACAUGUGGUUGCAGCUUGUGCUACCUAUAGUUUGAAUGUCGAACAAUAUAUCGAUGAUGUAUACACACUUGAACGUACGUUGCGUAUUUGGGGUAACGAGUUCCCUGUAUUAAGGGAUAUAUCGACAUGGGAAGUGCAAUCGCCUGCAUUCGAGACGUUGCCUGAUCGGUCACUACGUAAGAGAGUUAAAGGUAGACCGACAAUAACGAGGAUUCGAAAUGACAUGGAUGUAAAAGAACAAGUUGAACCAAAGUGUUGCACCAUAUGUAGAACAGUUGACCAUAAUCGGAACAAAUGUCUCCAUGAAAACGUCUACACUGGUCAAUCUUCACGGUCUAAAAGAAAUUAAAUGUUGUAACUGAGGUCUGUCUAUAUUAUGAUCUUUUAGAAAUAAAGUUUGUAUUAUUUAGUGUUAAAAUUAUAUUUAAAAUUAAUAGUUGCAACUUUUAAUACUUUAAAAGAUUUUACAAUAAAUCAAAUAAAAAAACACUAAUAUAUAAGUUGUGAAACCUUAAACCAAGAUAACAAACAUCACAUAAUACUUAAAAUUUACAUAACUUAAAAUUGGAAAGAACCGGGAGUGGUAUCAUCGUUCAAGGUAUAACAGUUUACGGGCCUUUGUUGACGGGGUGGACGUUGAGGUGUAUUGUACACAUCUGAAGGAUUGGCAACUGGGUCGAUCGUGGCCUGAGGCGGGGUGGAGUACAUGUUAUUACCAAACAUAUCAACUGAUGUCGGUGGUUGCUCUAGGUCAAAUGGACUCAAACCGCCUAUAUCCGGGUGAUAUGAACUCGAACCACCCAUGUCUGAGUGAUAUGAACUCGAACCACCUAUGUCCAGGUUAUAUGAACUGCUCUGGGACUCAUCACAAAAAGUGUCAACCCAUUGCUCUGAUGUGUUUAAAACUUGGUCCUCCGAGUCGGGCUCUACCAUAUGUUGAUCCUCUACCUCCACCGUAGGUUGAUUUCCACGUCUGUAGCCGUGACCUGGUACUAUCAUAAGUUGUCCACCAUAUAAAUAAACUCGCCAUCUAUUCAUGUACCACUGCAUAUAUUCAGUCGAGGGACUGAAGUCAAACAUGCAGGAGUGCAUCUCAGGCCGCCUGUCGUACCAAGUAUUCCAUAGUGCUACAUAACAUUGAUGUUCCACGCAUCAAUCUAAUGUAUGUCUCCCCUGCAUGGUCUUACCGUGGACAUCAGCAAACUGUUGUGGCUCGACCGGCACAAAUUGUUUACACCCAAAUUGUCGCAUAACUCGAUCACCAUUGUACUACUCAACGGUUGAAAAGUUGAGCACCAGCGUGUUAAUACACCACAUACGAGCUUCAGCGUGAAUCCUCUGAGGAAUAAGGGUUGCAAUGUUUACUGCAGAAUACGGCAUCCACAAAAACUGCACAAUAUAAUAUAAUGAGUCAAUUCACAUCACAUACUGUAAGUGGAUAAGUUAAAUAAAUGUUACUUAAACUAUAUUAAUAUAUAUUACUUUCUCUCCCGCGUACGCCUCUAUCAUUUGAUGGUAAAUGAUUAAUGUCUGGCUCGCACCAAUUCCCAGAUACGUCGCCCAUCUGAAAUCGAAACAAACACGUUGGCAGUUAAACUUUGAAAAAUAUUAUCCACACUUAUGAGUCGUCAAAUGUUAAGUAUAAUUUUGUUUUUACCUAUUUAUAAGUGGUCACGAAUAUGGUUGGUGCCUAAUAGCCGCUAGAAACGACAUCCUGUAUAGAGCCCAAUACUGCAGUAGACCCAGACAACCAGCCAUAUUACUAACUCCAUGUUUUGUUGCACGACAGAGCUCAUAGUAUAAUACAGCCAACACUGCAGAUCCCCAGCUGUAACUACCGGCACGAGAAAAAUCCUCCAAUAGAGGCAAGUACUUUAAGUGGGCUCUAUUAGACGUGUUGUUCAGCAGAAGUACCCCCCAAUCAGCUGCAUAAUAUAGGCUCGAGUAGCAUACAUCACCUUCUGCUCAGUGGCAGUGCUUGAUAACUGCUUAAAAUUUACUCUCAACCAUGCUAAUGUCAAGCAUGUGAAAUUCUGUUCCCUAUCACGAGGAGACCGUCCAAGCAGUCUGUGGCAUACUACAGAAGGUUCCAACACUUUGCUUCGACCCGUGACCACAACACCAUCAACUCGUAACCCAAGUUGCAUAGCGACGUCUUCUAAUGUGAUAGUGCACUCCCCGCACGGCAUAAUGAAGGUGUGGGUCUCCGUACACCACCGCUCAACCAAGGCGGAUAGUAAGUUUAGCCUCAAGUAUGGCAUGAUCCGCUCGUCCGGUUCGUACUUGGGAAAAUGACACCGCAACCUCAAAACCCGAUAACCGUCCUGUAUGGUAAAUUUUUUAUAAAAAUAUGAUAAAUCAAUUUUCUAUAUAAUUUAAACAUAAAAAAAUAUAUUCAAGAGUAAAAUUGAAAGGUUGAGAAAACAAAAAACAUCACACUUAUAUUAUACCAACGUAACCGUUCUAAGUAUUUUUUUUAUUUAAGUUAAAUUAAAUAAGUAAUAAUAUAUUAAUAAUAAAAUGAAAAUUUGUCAUAAAAUAUUAAUAAUAACACGUAGAAAUCAAAUGUGAUUAUUAUAUCCUAACCAUAUUUAAGCAUUAAAUUAAUUAAAAUAAAUAUAUUAAUAAUAAAAGAAUGGGAGAAAUUACAGGAAUAUGAACUGGGGACUAGUAAAAUUACAAGAAAAGAGAAAUUUAUUGAGCAGCAACUCAAACUCCACCAGUGUAAAAAAUAAGUCCAAACCAGAAAGCAACCCAAGAGAAGAUGAUUGGUUCAAGCAAGUUCAAUUUGACACCAAUAGCUACAAUACGUAUAUAUUUCUAAUUUUAAAAUUUUAUGAUAUCUUAUUCAAAUUUUAAAGUGAGUAAUAGCGAAAAAUUAUUUUUCAAGGAAUACUAAUAUUUUUUUAUAUGAUAAAAUUUAAAAACAUAAAGUAUUUUUUAAACAAAUACUUAUGUUUUCUAGUUAUUUAUAAAUUAACUAGUAAAUAAUCAAAUAUAUUCACUUUUAUUAUUAUUGUUUUAAUAAUAUAUAUAUUAAAAUUAAAAGAAUUUUUUUUUUGUAAAUCGAGUUUGUCAAGUAAUAGUUUUGCAUAUUAAUCCCUACACACCGUCUAAUAAAUUAAGUAUGAAAUUAAUCAAAAUAGAGUAAAGUUUUAAGUAAGUCGAUUUUAAGGGGUAGUUAUUUAAAAAAAUGAAAAUAUCCUAAUUUAUUUUUAUAAUAUAUCUAUUCUAUUAUAAUUUGUGUGAUUAAAUUAGAUGUUUGGAGGUGAGUGCUACUAACUUUUUUUAAAGUAUACAAAUACAAUUACAAAUAAUGUAUAUCUAAAUCAAUUAUAACAAAAAUAAAGUAUUACAAAGUAUAAUCAAAUUAAUAAUCUAAAAUGUUCAGUAGAAGCUAAAUAACAACUAAUUAGAGAUAAGUAUUUUAAAGCAGUCAAAACAUGUUCAACAGAGUAGUGAUUAGUAAAAAAAAUUGGGAAACUAAACCUAAUUUUUUUUAAUUUAUAAUAAAUUUUACUGUUUCGUCGAUCAUCGAUGAAGUGUGAUCCGUAUUUACUCCAGAAGACAUAUUCAAAUCUGUAUAAUAUAAAAAAAACAAACAUACAAUACAAUUAUUUAUUAUAUUACAUUAACUAUAAAAUAUAAAAACAAAAAAAUAAAAUUUUAACAAACGUACCUUCUUAUUUUUUUCCCCUCACUCAAUUUCUUCAUCUAUACAAGGAGGGACUAAGCCCCACCCAUAUAUAUAAAUUUUUUUUUAAAAACAAAACAAUAAAAAGAGUCAAAAUAAUAAAAUAUAUAUUUAAUAUAUAUUUUUUAAAAUUUAUAUUUAUAUUUAAAUUUAUUAAUAGUCACAUCACUGACAUGAUGUGACAAGUUAUAAUAAAUAUAUAUAUAAUUUAAUUUAAACUUUAAAAUUUAAAUACAUAUAUCUAAUGUUAAAAAAAAUUUAACAAUAAUAUUUAAAAUUGUAAAAAAUAUAUUAUAAAAUAUUUUAAAUAUACAUUACAAAAUUUUUAAAAUUAAUAAUAAAAUAAAUAAACAAAAUAAAAUAAGAAAAAAACAUAAAAUUUCAAAAAAGUAAGAAAAAAGGAAAAAGACAAAAUUUUUAAAUUUUUUUUAAAAAUUAUGAUUUCUUAUAUUAUUAAAAAAAGUAUAAUUUUUUAAAUGUAUUUAAAAGUUGUAUUUAAAAUUUAAAAAAAUAAUCUCAAAAUACAUAUCUAAAAUUUACAAAUAUAUAUAUUAAUAAAAUAUUUCAAAUUUUUAAAGUCAAUAAUAAUAAUUAAACAUAAAAGAAAAAACAAAACAAUAAAAAGAGUCAAAAAAAGAAAAAAUAUAUAUUUAAUAUUUAUAAAAUAAUAUUUAAUAUAUAUUUUUUUAAAAUUUAUAUUUAUAUUUAAAUUUAUUAAUAGUCACAUCACUGACAUAAUGUGACUAGUUAUAAUAAAUAUAUAUAUAUAUUAAUUUAAACUUUAAAAUUUAAAUAUAUAUACCUAAUGAUAAAAAAAGAAUUUAAAAAUAAUAUUUAAAAUUGUAUGUAAAAUUAAUAAAAUAUUAAACAUACAUUUCAAAUAUUAUAAAACUAAUAAUUUUAAAACUAAUUUUUAAAAUACAUUUUUAAAAUUUAUAAAAAAUUAAUUUCACAAAUAUAUAUAUAAAGUUAAAAAAUAUUUUUAAAAAUAAUAAUUAAAAUUUUAAAAAAAUAUUAUAAAACAUUUUAAAUAUAUAUUACAAAUUUUUUAAAAUUAAUAAUAUAAAUUAAAUAAGUAAAAUAAAUUAAGAAAAUAAUAUAAAACUUUAAAAAGAAAAAAAUCUAAAAAAGAGAAAAAAUAUAAGAAAAAAAGUAAAAAAGUAAAAAAGUAAAAAAAAUAAAUAAAAAAAUAUAAGAAUUUGACAAAUCAGAAAAGUGGUGGCGCUAUUUAGAAUGGCUCCACCCAAAAAUGGAAUUUUUUUUUAAGUUUCCCGUUUUUCUAAAUUUUUUAGUAUUUCUCUAAUAUUUUAUACUGGUGGCGCCAUUCAACAUGGCUCCACCAAAAAAUAAUUUUUUUAUACCCCUGACUGACGUGACAAAGUGGUGGCGCCAUAUCAUAUGGCUCCACCACUUUUUACUGUAGAAAAUGAGUUAUUUUUGUACAUAAUUAAAAGGAUGGGUUAUUUUGAUAAUUAAUUUAUUUUUUAGGGUUACUUUUAUAAAAAAGCCUAAAAGAAAGCUCCAUCAUUUUAUUUCUACAUAAAAAUUAAUCUGAAUCAAACCUAAUAUUAUUUUAUUAAUAAUAAUUUUUUAUUUCAACUUUUAAAAAUAUUAAAAUAUUUAUAUCAAAUGUUCAAUAUUAUUAGACAUACAAAUUUAAUUAUUUAUAUUUAAUAACAUAAUAAAAUUUUAAUAUAAUUAUUUUAAAUAAAUUAUGUAGUAUUAAGAAAAAAUUAAACAUAAAUUUUGACAAUAAUAAUAUUAAUAUUUUAAAACUAAAUAUAUAAUAAUAUAAAAUAUGAUUAUUUUAGUUAUUUCAAUAUAAAUAAUUAUUUAAAUCAUUCUUCAGUUAUCUCUUCUAACUUUAAUAUCUUUAAUAUGUCACUAUUCACUCAUAUAUGUAAUUUAAAUUUUCUAUUAUUAAGUUCAUAUAUAUUUAUCAUUAUAAAAUAAAAUACUACUAUAAUAUUUUAAGAUAAAUAUAUAUUGUGCUUGCUUCACCAACAACUUUUAAAAAGAAUAGUCCAAAUAUAGACUUCUUCUGCAAAUUGUUUUCAGUUAAACAAAACUGAGGGUUAAUAUUUUCAUAUAAAUCAUUCAUUUUAUAAUUAUAACAAUAUCAAAUAUUUGACAAAUAAUUAUUUAACCAGUUUUGAUCUUCAACUAAUUUCUUCUAUUAUCAUUUGAACCAAUUAAAUCACCGAUGCAUCUCUUCUAUCCACAAUCAUUUCCAUACCAUAUUGCAAAACCCAACAAUCCUCACUUCACAUAGGAACAAUUGAAGUUCCUCUCCUCAGCAUAUCUUUAACUUUUUAUAGCACUAUCAAAAUUGAACACAGAUUUUCAAUUAACUUAGAAUGUCGGUCACUUGUCAUCUAAAAUAGCUUUUGCAUUCUACUGUUUUCUCUUUUAAUAGAUAGCAAUUUCAUAACUUGAACAGAUCAAGAAAAACAGACUGUCAAACCAAGAUUUAUGCUGAAACAAGUUCAAACAACAAGCAGUCGUCCGAUAUCAAUGAUGAAUGUUAAUUCUUCAUAAGCUCGAAAUGUAUUUGUGAGGCAAUAGGUUUGCAGUAAAAAGUGAGAUACAUGAAUAGAUCAAAAAUACCUCCAAGACCACAUUUCAUCCAUCAUUUAAUGAGAACUCAACUUCAUGUAUCUUUCAAUAAUCUCGUCCGGUAAAAGAUCGGUGAAAUAUCCCUUCCCAACACGCAAACCCUCUUCCUUUGCAAGCCUCUCAACUUCAACCUGAAUUCUGUCUCCUCCCACUUCAUUUGGUUUCAACAAAUUACAAGCCACCUCAGUGAUGCCAUCACCAUGUGCAAGCCCCAUCGCUUGCACUGAAGGAAGUCCACCUCCUCUCUCACUUACAUGUUUUGCAAUCCUACGAACAGCUGCAAUAUCAGUCGAGAAUACAGGGACAUUGUAGUUACCAACCCAAUGGGUGGUUCCAAUUAUAAUAACACCUUUUGUUGGAGACACUUGAGUUGGACCUGCAUCAGGCCUCAGGGGUAAGGACUCUGAUUUAGACCCUCCGGACCAUAGAAUACUGCCUGAAUUAGGCUUGAAAUAACCAAGUUCUCUUCUGACAGAAUCAAGGAACCUUCCCCUCUCUUCAGCAGCCCCAUAUAGAAACGUAGGUACUGCAGUUACCAUUCAAGGUCAUCAGCAAUAGAAAAGGUAACUCUUUUAGGAGCAAAAAAGUGACUAAUACUCACAGACAAAAACAAGUAACAAAAAAACCCAUGUAAUUUGAAAAGAUAAUGCACACAUAGGAAGUCUCGGUAAAAUGAAAUUCUUCUUAAACACAACUUUGAUUCUUACUUACAAUCUUUCAACUAACAAUCAAGAUGGGUGACAAAGAUGCUACAUUGAUACUAAUCAGUGAACAAAAUCUAGAACAAUUUUAUACAAAUGAGUCACAUAGCAUAUUUAUAGCACCAAUGUAAAAGGUGCAAAUGUCCACAGUAAGCACCCUGUAGACCAAGCUUCUGGCCUAUUCCAGAGAGGAGAUUAUGAGUAAAUGUUCAUUGCAGCCACUUAGAAAACCCAAAUAACUACAAUGAAAGAGCACGAAAGUACCAACUUUAUAUGUCUAUAGUGCCUGACUAUAACAGAUUAGUUGAUUACGAAAAAAAAAAAAAAGCAAAAUCUUCCAGGCUACAGGAUAUUAAAAGAAUUCACUAUUCCAUAAACAUAGCUGACCAACUGGUUUUUUGGUUGAACUUCCAAAGUUGCACUCACUAAUCUAACUAAAACUGGCAAUAUCUACAUAACAUUUGGUUCAAAAGGAAGAGACCUUUAAGUUUGGAGCCUAUAUCUGCAGCCAAAGACUUUGCAACCACAGCUGUUUGGUCCAAGGAAGCAUGUGCCAAGGGGUGAAAACAUAUAUGAUCGACAACUCCAAGUCGAGGAUGAGUUCCAGAAUGCAACUCAAAGUCUAUGGUCUCCAAAGCAACCUUAACAAUGGCAAAGACUGCAUCUUUCAAAGGACAUGAAUCUUGAGAUGGUUUUGGAGUCAAUCUGGAGACAACUGUAUAUCCAACUCUAUUGUAAGUAUCAUCUAUAAACUUAUUCACAAUAGCAGCCUCAGGGAAUAGCUUGGCAGCUCUUUCUAUCGAUUCCAAAGCUGCUCUAUUUCGGCUUUCAGAAAUGUACACCUUGCCACAAGCCAGCAUCUUGCUCAACAUCUUUUCUUCUCCUCCUCCUCUUUCUACUUGCUUAAGAUCUGCCCAAAAAUUAAGGGAGUAGAUAGCGAUAAUGAAAUGAGAUAAAAGGCCAUUGUUCAGCCACGGUUUAAGUGAGGAGUGGGGACCAGCCGUCGAGCAAUCAACUACUAUAAAAUUGCCUAAAAUUUACAAACAAAUUCAAAAAAGAAAAAAUGCAAACUCAAUUGAGAAACAGAUCAAGCUUGAAACUUUAAAACUACACCAAAAUAUAACACUACCAAAUUUUAAAAAAAAAUACAAAGAGCAUCGCAUCUGAUACCCAGCGUAAGCAGUAAAAUACCUAAAAUAAAGUAGCUGAAAUCAAAAUUCGAUGUCUUUAGGUUUUGGGUAUCCAAGAUAUUCCAAUUUAACACCCAAGGCUGCACGGAUAACCCUAAACUUAAGCCUCAAAGCUUCCAUAAUUUCUUGGACGCUUUCGUCUUCGGGAUCCAUAGCAGGGUACUUCAGGAUUAGUUCCUGCAUUUGCUUAAUCCCCUUUUGAACCCGAUUGGAGAAGCGGGCUGGAUCGAUUUGGAUGGCAGAGUUCCACACAUCGACACAGCCCUUGUAGAAACCGAGCUCUUCUCCUGUUUCGAAGCCAGUUUUAAGACCCACUUCCUGUCCCUCUUCCUUGCCGGUCGUUACGCCGUGGUUGUAGCCUUCUUUGUAACCUUCUUGGUAAUGGGUUUCUUCUAGAUUUAGCGAUGAAUCGAAAAUAUCUUCAGCAGAGUCCAUUGAAGAAGAACCGAAAAAUUCUUCUUUGUAACCUUCCCUUUAGGGCUUUUAUUUUAGUUUAGUUUUGCUUAUUCAUAAGGGGGUGGUUCAAAGGAAGUACAAAAGGCUGGAAGCGGUUGCUUUAGCCCAAUGGGCGGCAAAUACUUUUUUGGACUGGGCCGUUGAGGUGUAUUAACAAAUUUGAGUUACGAUACGAGUCACAUCUCUAUUUUUAUCCAAAAUUUCUUAAUUUUUAAAUUAAAGGAAAAACAAGGUUAAAACAUGAUUAAACUCACCUGCUGUAAUAACAUUUGUAGCUGAGAUCUAUAGUAUUUUUUUAAAUUUUUUUGAAGAUUGAUUUUAUCAAUUAAAAUGAAAUGUUGGUGCUGAUCAAACCAUAGUCUAAUGGAAAAAAAAAUUGUGUGGAUUUAAGUUAAUUUACAUUAAAUUUAGGGUUAACUUAUCUUUCUUUCACAUUUAGUUUUGAUGGUUAUAAUAUAAUUGCUUAUACUAAAAAAUAUGAUCUAGACAAAGUGCUUGCCUAGAGUUUUGGCAUUUAAAUUUUCACUUGAAUUUUUUUUAGUACAUUAAGACUCAAAUUUUAGAUUUUAAAGUGUCAAAACACAACUUAAAUCAGUGAAUAUUGUAAUUAAAAAAUAAUAUAUUGAUAAAUAAUUCCAUUAGAGAAGGGGUAUAUUGGCAAUGCACAAUUUUCUACUAUUUUUGCUAUUUGUUUAAAACUACAUUAUGUGGCAUGAUGUGGUAGGAGAGUGACCAAUACCCUAGCCAAAACCUGGCAAUUUGGUAGCAGUUUCAAGUUUCAACAGCAAUUGGUAAAAUAGAAAUAUACAAGUAUAGUGGCACAUUGAAACUUGAAAAGAAUGCUUUCCUCUCCAGAAUCAGCGCCUUGAAACGGGUCUCUUUCUUCUACACCCACCCCCGCUCCAGUGAAUACACUAGUACUCCUACUUGCAUUUCUUUUUAUUUUUUCUUCUUUUACUCAACCCAUCAGCUCUUGUUUCACAAAGAGAGAUCCUUUCUUUCAUUUACUGUUUCUUUUUCCUUGGCCGAAUAGCAAUGGGAGGUGGACUACUAUCUCACAAAGGAAAUGGCAGUGGGAAUGGGCACAAGGGAAGACCCUAUGUGUUGAUGUUACUUUUGGCAUUUGGGGCUGCACUGCUUGGUGUUAUGGUGCUGCACAAGUUCAGGGAGAUACGCAUCUUCAACCUCCUUAUCGAAGAUAAGAACCGUCAGCUCCUUUCCCUUCAGCUACUGUUGCAGGUUCCUUCUCUUUUCUCUCUCCUUCAUGCAUGCGCUGUCGCUUUUUACGUGUCACUCUCUCUAACUGACAAAUCACAAACACCAUGCAUUCCAUUCCAUUCCAGUCCAUCCUCUUUUCCGUUCUUUUUGUUUACUUUUUUAACUUUUUUGUUUAUAAUUAUUUUGACGAUCCAAGCGGAAAAAAAAAGGUAAACUCUGGGUAGUUCAUGGAGGAAAUCUCUUGAUUUACAAUGCUGUAGUGAUCAAACACAAAAUCUUGUGCAUUGUGAAAUCAUAAGGACAAGUUGUGGUAAAUGAGUAGGUACAUGCCUUGCUGAAUUUGAAUAAUUAUAAUUCUUGGGAGUUGAGACGCUUGAGACAGGGAAUGAGGAAUCGCAGGGCCGAUGUUGCGUGUUUGUAGAGCAAAACUCCUCUUUCUAGAUGAUGGUUUGACAUUUUUCUCACAUUUCAGUGAGAUGCAAGUCUAGCCAUGUGAUUGCAAUUAGUGACAUUUUUGCUCAGCUUGCGUUGUUUUGGUGUCAUCUCUUAAUAAUGUUUCUAAUCGAAGAAACAAACUUACAGCAAAGUUUGCUACGGUCUGGAGUCUAGGAAAGAGAACAAAUGCAGAUUAUGUAAUCUUUUCGGAGUGAAAAGAUCAUAGAUCUUACUUUCUUGUAUAAUUUUCUCACCUUCAUUUGGUUGAAAAAAUGUCAAACUUGGGAGUUUCUAUAUAAAAUUAUGUUCACCUUCAUGUAUCCACUUCCAAAUCUGGGUAACAUAGGACUUAAAACAUUGCAAAGGUUCAAAACGUUGACAUUGUUGUUUUCUUUAAUUUCAAUCACAGAAGGAAAGAGAAUACACCAAAGACAUGAGAAGGAAAGCUGAAGAGACAAAAGCAAAGAUAUACUACCUUAGAAACCAAAAAAUGGAGCUUGAUCGUAGGCUGUUGGACAUGCUACCUACACUUGAUUCCCUUAAAGAUGAGCAGAAGGCCAUGGAGUCUGCUCUGGAAGAGAAAAAGAGAGAUCAAACUGCUACGGGAUAAAGACUUGAAUACAGGAAAUGAGAACCCUCAGAUCAUAGCUUUAACAGCAACUUUGAAGCAAAAGGAAGCUGAAAUUGAGGAAUUGAAGCACCAUCUUACAGGUCAAGUAAGGGUUUGGUCAGUGAGUACUGAUGACCCAUCGAAUCCUAAAGUAAAUAUGACAAAGGGGAAGACAGAGUUCAGCCGUGAGGAGAGUAGGCGAGUACAUGAAUCUUCAUACAAGGGCGGACACAAUUCACCGAAAGGUCAGGAUGCAACUGAGACUAAAUUCAGUUUUUCGCAAGAGGAAGACAAAGGAGAAGGGUUUGAAGAUGGAAGUGAGAAAAGAGGUGGACAGCAGCAGAAACUUGAAAGUUUGGGAGAAAAUGCCAACAAUCAUGGAGCCAUAAGAGAAAUGAAAAUUGGGGAUACUGAUGAUACAGGCAAUUAUGUAGUAGAUGGGAAGAAGAAUCAUGCGAAUGCCAUUGAUACGAUUAAUGAUGUGGAUAACGAACAAGAGAAGAGAAUUAGCUUCAGUGGGCAGCUUGAAAAACGUAGAGUUCCUCACCUGGAAAGUGAACGAAUUCGUGAAGGUGGGAAGAAGAUGGACAUAGAUGAGAAUUCUAGGAUUUCAAGUUUACCAGAGAGAAUCGGCCACUUAAGCAGAUCAAAAGGAAAAAGAUGGAGAAGUCUUGCUAGGAAAAGGCUCCUAAAGAGGAAUGUAAAUUCCGGAAUUGAUGCAGUGGAAAACAUGACAGGUAGAAGGUUGUCCAAAGAAAAUAAAGCCCUUGUAAGAAGCAAGGAAGAUGGAGCAGGUUCUGGGGAGCCACAAAAAGAUGAAAGAGACAAAACAGAAAAAAGUGGCCCGAGGAAGGAAAUGGGUGCUAGAAAAGCUAAUUUGUUCAAGCAUCGGAACUCUGAAGAUACUGAAGAUAUGAGCGACAGAAAAGUGAGUGCCAAGACAAGCCAUCAGGUGGAGGGAGAAAAUGCAAUGCAAAGAAACCAUGACGACUCUUUGGCAAUGGCAAUACAAGACACAGGUGUGAUUGGAGAAGCCAGUAACUAUACACAAGGCACCAACCAUGUUAAAGUUGAAGAAGCUGCCAAGAUCAAACAGAUUGAAGGACAUGAAACGGAAGAAGAUAUAGAGGUUGCCUAUGAACAAGAGCCAAAAACAGAAGCAGAAAAGGGUGACCUUUCCAGCAACUAUAUGUCUGAAUCUGAUGGUAAAGAAGGGAAUAAGGAUGACACAAACGAGCCCCAUUUUUAAUUUUCGUAUGCUUUGUUGGAAUAUUUUCAAAUAUUUAUAGUAUCCCAAUAACUAUAAAUGAAUGGGUGUAAUUAAUCAAAAGAUAAAACUUUUGGUCAUUGGUCAAAAGUUAUAUCAUUUGAUUUUUUAAAAAAGAAUUAUAACUAUUCAAAAAAUAUUAUUUGAAUAGUUACAAAAUUAAAUGAAUAAUUAUUAUUAUUUAUUUAUUCAUAAAGACACCUAUUGAAAGAUGUCUCUAUGAAGAGACAUGAAAAUUCUUAUAAAUAGGAAUGGGAUUUCAUUUGGAAAUCAUAUCAACAAAUUCUAAUAUUAUUUCUUCUCUUCCUUCAUUUUCUAAUAUUAUUAGAUUAUUCUAUAAAGUAUUGCUGCAGAAAUCCUUUGUAGAAAUUGAGUUUUUGUUAUACAUUACUCAGUGCAUAGUGGACUAUUCUCGUCAGUGCAAAACGCAAAUAGUCAUUGGCUUCAUUGUAUCCUCGAGGUUAAUUUGCUUGGAACUCGUUUGCACACUGAAGAUAAGUGGGGGCGAAUAUAACCUUAAAGAUAGUGGCUUGAUACACGCCUUGGAGCCUGUCCUAUUUCUUCUUUUUCUUUUCGAGUUCCGAUUGUGUGUUCGAGAUUUUUCCUUACCGGAGUUUUGUACUAACAAUUUUAAGGUUAUAUUUCAUGAUGACUACCACAACACAUGAAAGUGGAACACUAAGGGAGUUGGCUUCCAACUUUGUUAAACUUGAUCGUUUUGAUGGUGGCAAUUUUCGACGAUGGCAGAAAAAGAUGCACUUUUUGUUAUCAACUUUGAAGAUUGCUUAUGUUUUGGAUACUCCAAGACCUGAAGAGAAUGAAAAUGAAUCUGUUGCUGCAACCCGAGAAAGACAAAAAUGGGACAAUGCUGAUUACAUGUGCAUGGGCCACAUAUUGAAUGGUUUAUCUGAUGGUUUGUUCGACACCUACCAAAACGACGUCACCGCUAAAGAAUUAUGGGACAAAUUGGAGGCAAGAUACAUGACCGAAGAUGUUACAAGUAAGAAAUUUCUUGUCAGUCGUUUCAAUAAUUAUCAAAUGGUUGAUGGUCGUUCUGUUAUGGAACAAUUUCGUGAUAUUGAAAAGAUGCUGAAUCAAUUUAAGCAAUAUGAUAUGAAAAUGGAUGAAAUGAUUGUGGUAUCCUCCAUAAUAGACAAACUUCCUCCAUCUUAGAAAGACUUUAAAAGAAGUCUAAAACAUAAGAAAGAGGAAAUAUCUCUUGAGGCUUUGGCAAAUCAUCUUCGUAUUGAAGAAGAGUAUCGAAAACAAGAUCAGAACCUAAAUUCUGAAAAUGCCAAAGUACAUGUUACGGAGGAAGUACAGACUACUAAACCAUUCAAGAGAAAGUUCAAUCAGACUGAUAGAGCACCUAAGUUCAAAAAGAAACAAAAGGGCUCGUGCUAUCAUUGUGGAAAGCCGGGACAUUUCAAGAAUGAAUGUCGAUUUUUAAAGAAGAAAUCGUCUUCUAAGGCUGAUAAUAACGAAAAGUUCGUUGCAAUGAUAUCUAAAAUUAAUAUGGCACAAUAUGAUAAUACAUGGUGGAUUGAUACCGGAGCAACCAAACAUGUGUGCAAAGACAAAAGCAUGUUCACAAAGUUCACACAAUGUGAAAAUGACAAUGUCUUGUACAUGGGAAAUUCUUCCACCGCAACAAUUAAAGGCAAAGGGUCUGUUGAACUACAAUUCACUUCUGGAAAGGUUUUAACCUUAAAUGAUGUAUAUUGUGUACCAGAAGUUAGGAAAAAUUUAGUGUCUGGAAGUCUGUUGAAUAAGUUUGGUUUCAAACUUGUUUUUGAGGCAGAUAAGUUUAUUUUGUCUAAGGGAGGAAUUUUUGUGGGAAAAGGGUAUAUGUAUGAAAGCAUGUUCAAACUUAAUAUUAUUAAUAAGAAUAAAAAUACUAUUUCUGCUUAUAUGCUUGAAUCAUUUCGUUUGUGGCAUUAUAGAUUAGGUCAUUUGAAUUAUAGAAAAUUGAAUGACAUGUAUAAAUUAGAUUUAAUUCCUAUUUUUAAUAAUAAUAUUGAAAAAUGCAAUACCUGUAUGUUGACUAAAAUUACAAGAAAUCCUUUCCCUAAGGUUAAAAGGAAAACAAAAUUGCUUGAUUUGAUACAUAGUGAUUUAUGUGACUUGCAUAAUACUCCUACAUUAGGUGGAAAGAAAUAUUUUGUUACUUUUAUUGAUGAUUGUUCUAGAUAUUGUUAUGUAUAUUUAUUGCAUUCAAAAGAUGAAGCGCUUGAUAAAUUUAAAGUUUAUAAAUCUGAAGUUGAACUUCAGUGUGAAUCAUUUAUCAAGUGCUUAAGAUCGGAUAGAGGUGGAGAAUACUAUAAUCCAAGUUAUUUUGAACUCACUGGAAUUGUCCAUCAAGUUUCAGCCCCUUACACACCACAACAAAAUGGUGUAGCUGAAAGGAAAAAUAGAGUCUUGAUUGAAAUGGUAAAUUCAAUGUUAUCAUAUUUAGGUCUUGGACAGGGUUUUUGGGGAGAAGCUGUUCUAACAGCUUGUCAUAUAUUGAAUAGAGUUCCUAAUAAGGAAACUAAAAUAACCCCCUAUGAACAAUGGAAGAAAAGGAAACCAAACCUUAAUUAUUUAAAGGUUUGGGGUUGUAGAGCUAUUGUAAAAGUUCCAACACCUAAACGUAAAAAGUUAGGUGAAAGAGGAAUUGAAUGCAUAUUUAUAGGUUAUGCACAUAAUAGCAAGGCAUAUAGGUUCAUAGUAAUUGAACCAAAUGAUUCAAUUUCAAUUAAUACGGUUAUUGAAUCAAGAGAUGCUAUUUUUGAUGAAAAUAGAUUUAAUUCUAUAUCAAGACAAUUACAACCACAACAAUUGAUUCAUUCUUCAAAUGAGAAUGAGAUUCCAUUGAAACAAAUUGAUAAUAAUGAUGAAUCUUGUCAAGAAUUAAGAAGAAGUAAGAGGAUUAAAAAGGUCAAAGAUUUUGGACCAGAUUUCAUUAUGUUUCUUGUAGAAGGAAAAGGUGAAAAUAUAUGCAAUAAGAUACCUUAUUGUUAUAAUACCGAAUCUGAUCCUAUUACAUUUGAAGAAGCAGUGAAAUCUCAAGACUCUACUUUUUGGAGAGAAGCAAUAAAUGAUGAAAUGGAUUCAAUAAUGGGAAAUCAAACUUGGAUCUUAGUUGAUCUUCCACCAGGUUCCAAAUCAAUAGGUUGUAAAUGGAUCUUCAAAAAGAAAAUGAAGGUCGAUGGAACCAUUGAUAAAUUUAAAGCAAGGUUGGUAGCAAAAGGUUUUACACAAAGACAAGGUAUUGAUUACUUUGAUACCUAUGCUCCAGUAGCAAGAAUUGCUACAAUUAGACUAUUAAUAUCACUUACCUCUAUAUAUAAUUUGGUUGUUCACCAAAUGGAUGUUAAAACUGCAUUUUUAAAUGGUGAAUUGGAAGAGGAAGUGUACAUGGAGCAACCGGAAGGAUUUGUUGUUCCAGGACAAGAGCAUAAGGUAUGUAAGCUUGUUAAAUCUUUAUAUGGGCUUAAACAAGCACCAAAACAAUGGCACCAAAAGUUUGACAAGGUUGUUUUAGCUAAUGGCUAUAAAAUAAAUGAAUCCGAUAAGUGCAUAUAUAGUAAAUUUGAUAAUGGAAAGGGUGUUAUAAUUUGCUUAUAUGUAGAUGACAUGCUCAUUUUUGGCACGGAUUUGGAACAAAUAGAAAACACAAAGAAAUUCUUGUCAAACAACUUUGCUAUGAAGGAUAUAGGUGUAGCAGAUGUUAUUCUUGGGAUUAAAAUAACCCGAGAUGAAAGCACUAUAACUUUAUCACAAUCACAUUACAUUGAAAAUGUGCUUAAAAAGUUUGAUCUUUUCAACUGUAUACCAGCAUCUACACCCAUGGAUCCUCAAUUAAAAUUAGUAUCUAAUGCUGGUAGGAAAAUUGAUCAAUUGAAAUAUGCAAGUCUAAUUGGUUGUCUUAUGUACAUAAUGACUUGUACAAGACCAGAUAUUGCAUAUGCUAUUGGAAAAUUGAGUAGAUACACAAGUAAUCCAAGUAGUUUGCAUUGGCAAGCUUUAAAUAGAGUACUUAGGUACUUAAAGAAAACUAUUAACUAUGGAUUGUGUUAUAAUGGAUAUCCUCCAGUUUUAGAAGGGUAUUCGGAUGCUAGUUGGAUUACAAGUUUGGAAGAUCAUGCAUCUACUAGUGGGUGGAUCUUCAUUCUUGGUGGAUGAGUCAUUUCUUGGGGUUCCAAGAAACAAACAUGUAUUACUGAUUCCACCAUGGCAGCAGAAUUUAUUGCAUUAGCCGCUGCAUCUAAAGAAGCAGAAUGGUUAAGAAAUUUGCUUUAUGAUGUACCUUUAUGGCUUAAGCCAAUUUCACCUAUUUCUAUCCGUUGUGAUAGUGAGGCUACUCUAGCAAAGGCAUAUAGCCAAGUAUAUAAUGGAAAGUCUAGACACAUUGGAUUAAGACAUAGUUAUGUCCGACAAUUAAUCUCUGAUGGAGUGAUCACUAUUAAUUAUGUGAGGUCAAGUGAAAAUUUGGCAGAUCCUUUGACAAAAAGUCUUGCUAGAGAUGCAGUAAAAAGGACCUCAAAAGGGAUGGGACUCAAGCCUAUUAAUUAGAGUCACCCAUGAUGGAAACUCGACUCAACGCUUGGUAUAACGUCAAGUCUUGAGUUCAAUGAGACAAAGUACAUCAUUAGUAUGUGACUGUUAGCACUAUAAAUAAAUUCAUCCUAAGAUUAAAGUGCUAGGUACCCGUAAUGAUAAGGGAAGGAUGAGUAAUGUACUCUUAAUGGACCCAUAACAUAAAUAUGUUAGAGUGUUAUAAUUACGGGAACACUUUUGAUGGGAUCUACCUAUGUGAGUGGAAGUGUGGCCGCUUCUAGGAGCUUAAGGGCUUGGCUCUGACAGCACUCAUGAAAAGAGGACAUAGACACAUGGCUAUAAUAGUGUCCCUAGAUACUAUGCAUUGACUGAUGUUGAAAUCAUUGUGUGAGAUGUGUUCAGUUAAUCAAAUGGAAUAGUUGGUUCAAAGCUUAGUCUACCAUACAAUUUCGAUUAACUUUAACAUGUUUUCACUAAGUGAAGGUUCAAUCGUAAGACACCUUUAUUUAUGCAAAUUGAUUUCUAAGAAUAUCAAAAUCUAAAUAUUUUGAAAAUGGGGGGAGAUUGUUGGAAUAUUUUCAAAUAUUUAUAGUAUCCCAAUAACUAUAAAUGAAUGGGUGUAAUUAAUCAAAAGAUAAAACUUUUGGUCAUUGGUCAAAAGUUAUAUCAUUUGAUUUUUUAAAAAAGAAUUAUAACUAUUCAAAAAAUAUUAUUUGAAUAGUUACAAAAUUAAAUGAAUAAUUAUUAUUAUUUAUUUAUUCAUAAAGACACCUAUUGAAAGAUGUCUCUAUGAAGAGACAUGAAAAUUCCUAUAAAUAGGAAUGGGAUUUUAUUUGGAAAUCAUAUCAACAAAUUCUAAUAUUAUUUCUUCUCUUCCUUCAUUUUCUAAUAUUAUUAGAUUAUUCUAUAAAGUAUUGCUGCAGAAAUCCUUUGUAGAAAUUGAGUUUUUGUUAUACAUUACUCAGUGCAUAGUGGACUAUUCUCGUCAGUGCAAAACGCAAAUAGUCAUUGGCUUCAUUGUAUCCUCGAGGUUAAUUUGCUUGGAACUCGUUUGCACACUGAAGAUAAGUGGGGGCGAAUAUAACCUUAAAGAUAGUGGCUUGAUACACGCCUUGGAGCCUGUCCUAUUUCUUCUUUUUCUUUUCGAGUUCCGAUCGUGUGUUCGAGAUUUUUCCUUACCGGAGUUUUGUACUAACAUGCUUUUGGAGUGUUUUGUUAAAGUUGUAAUUGUCAUAACUCUUAAACAGUAAAAAUAUGUUUAGAAUUAAUGGAAAUAUCACUAAAUAGUUAAUGCCUGUGAUUUCCUCGAGUGACCGGGAGAAAAUUGUUAUCGACAGUGCAAAGAAUAUAGAAGUCAAAACUUAGCAGACAGUAACACUAGAGAAUUUAAGGAACUUAAUUCAAAUCUCAUUAAAUCAGGACAAUAUGCAAAAAAGCAUUGUUCAUUUCUUUUCAAAUUCAUCAACAGAUUUUAAGUCUUCAAAACUGUUACUUCCCAUUAUCAACAGGACUAGCCAACAAAUCAGGCAGUGUGUUCACUGAAACUAACCUCCAAUUUUGCUCAUUCACCAUUCUCUUAGUAAAAAAGAAAUGAUGAACAAGAAAACAGAUUUCCUCGCCAACAAAAGAAAAAAACAAUAUCCUAAGAGCAUAGAAGUUCCAGCCACACAUUAUUACUGGGAAUCUUGUAAAAAUUAAAAGCUCCAACCUCAUUUCUUUGCCGUUUCCACUGUGUUCUGCAACAAAAAGAAAAUAUAUUUAUUGGGGGAGAUGCCAUAAUAGGUAUACUAUAAUAAUGUGAGAUCUGAGGAAUUGUUAGGCACCCGUAUUAUCUAUUAAUGGUUAGAUGCUCAAUGAAAUAAGAUCACCAAGUAGAGGCCACCAGCAAGCUGGUUGGCGGAAAUGUAAACAUGAGCUCGUAUGGUAUAAAAACUACUAAUGCUUUCCAACCAUAACCUGGCUUUUAUAGCAGGUAAAUAAUAUUCAUACCAUGGUGAUUUUGUGAACUAAGAAUUAGUGCGAUUGAACGACCUUAAAUGGUUUAUAGUGAUAAAAUUUAGCACUGUCCAACAGAAUAAUCUCCAGCAAAAUGGGAUAUAUGCCUAACUAAAAGCCACAAUAAAACUGCCCAACAAUACAUAUAUUCAGGUAUGAGUUUGGAAGUAUGAUUCUCUAAUGAACAAGCUUAGAAAAAUUGAGUAUACGCAUCUUGGACUUGUACAGCUUCGAGUCCAGGUAAGAUAGCUCUAGACUGUCAUUCCUAUCAAAACAGACUCCAUUCUACUAACAAGCAAAGUCCAAAUAUAAAAGUACCUCUUCUUUCUUGCCUUUGCCUUUAGUUAAGAACUUGUAUCCGCCAUAGAAAACCAGACCCCAACCAGUUAAAGAGACGAUAACAAACUGUGCAAUCAUUCAAAUAGGUUAAUACACUGAUGGAGAAACAAAGCCUACGAACUUAAUACAUAAUAAAAUAGGAUAUAAAAAUCGUUAGACUGUAUGCUAUAAAAUCUAACAGCAGCCACAACUCAACAAGAUUUUAACUUCAAAUAACUGAAAGACAGCAUUAAAAGUGGAGAGGGCGUAGAUUAGAAAUAUUAAAUGAAAAAAAAAUUCGCAAUUUCCUAAUCUGAAAAUCUACAAACUGGAAAUAGGUUAAGAAAUUAGGGGAAAUUUGAAAUAUAAAACAUGAAAAGAAACAAACUGACAUGCUCUUCCUUCCAAUUAGCUGGGUUCAUUGGUUCUUGCCAACAAUUAACUUUUGGGGGUCCAUGGUGAUCUGCAAAAAAAAAAGUUCAAUAAAUAUACAGUAAAAACAUGUUCUUUAACUUCUAAGAUCCCCUAGCUCCAACUAUGAUCAAAGUCAAAUGAGAUUAAAUUGAGGUUAAUCGGGAGACAAAUUUUACAUAUUGAAUACAAUGUAAAUUUAAAGCGUAAAAAUAAAUAAAUAAAUAAAUAUGGGUAUACAAAGAAUACCUGCAGCGCCGGCAAGACCCCGGCGGGUAAUGAGAGAAGCGGCUUGACAGGGAGGUGGUGUUCGAGGUACAGUCGCUAUCCUACGAGCUGCAACCGCCGCCAAAGUAGCCAUCAAGGUGGUUCCUUCUUCUUCUUUUUUUUCCUCUGUGUAGGGGCUAAUCACAAGAGAAUCGGGGAUGGUUACCGUGUAACCUAUACUGCGUCUGCUAUAAAUAUUUAUCUGGUGUCACUUAAUUUAGUAUUUAAGAAAAUAUGUAAAAAUUAAAUUAAAUUUAUUUUUUUAGGCUUGUUCCUAAAUUAUACUUAUUUUCCAAAAUUGAGAGUUAAACUUUUUUUUAUCAAAAUUUGUAUUUAAACUAUUCAACCGUUAGUCUCAUUAAACAAAAAAUUUUAACCAAUCACAUCUAUCAUGUAGACGUCUAUUUAUUUUUUUAAAUAUUAUUAAAAUUCAUAAAUAUAAUUAAAAAUAGUUAAAAAAUUAAAAUAUCUUAAACCGUAAGUAACAACUUUUUACUCCUUGAAAAUAUCCCUAAUCAUAUUUUACUAAUAAUCCCUAUUUUAUUCUAAAAAAAAUCCAAGAACCCUUUUAUCAAAAAAAAUUCACUAACCCUUUGAAUAUUCUUAGAAACUUCCAUCCCUUAUGGAAUUGAUCGGAGGGUAAGUUUAAAGAACCAAAAUUUUUACUGAAACUUUUGUUUAACUGAAGAAUUUUUUUUGGAGUAAAGCAAAAAAUUUCUUUUUUAUUUUGUUGGAUAUAGUAGAUGUCAACUACAAGCUCAAAAACUUAUAAGUUGAGGGUUAUUCAUUGUUACUGUAGAUUAAGAGCAUCGAUUUGUAAUUUAAAUACUACUUGGAGCAAAAGGAAAAAUUAUAUGGUUGUUCAAAGUAAAAAGAGGUGUUUUAUUUUAUUUUAUUUUGUUUCACACCAUAUUUAGCGUAAAUAAAUGUUGAAUAGUUGUAUAUAUCUAUGAGUUUUCACGUUGAAGGUUUAAUUUGAUAAAAAAUUUGGUUAAGGAAUGUUUACGAUCAAUAUUAUAGGAUUGAUGUUUUAAUUUGAGUUUUGUUUGAUAUGAAGUUUAAUUUGAUAAUGUUUUUAGUUAAAAUGAAGGAUUUGAUUUUUGAAUUAAAUUGAUUUGUAUAUUUGAAUGGUGUAAGGUGAUUGUAAUUUCUUUAAAUAGGUUAAAAAGUAAGAUGAAUCAUCCUUACCCUCUAACCAACUCCACCAUCUCAACUUCACUGACUCUCGACCCACUAGAUGAAUCAUCAUUAUCAACUUCCACACAUUUUCUCCCAACAACAUUUUCAGUAAACAAUCUCUUGUAUGUAUUGCUGUUAAAUAUUUGCCAUUUGUAUUGUUGACAACCAUAAAGAGGCGUUCCAUUACAUGGGGACAAAUUAGACUCUGGAACUCCCUCUACACUACAGACUAGAGUCCCCUUUUAUCUAGUUCUCUCGUCAACUUAAUUCUAAGUCAUACUUACUCCAUCAUCUCUCCACUUCCCUUAUUCUCGAAAGACUGUUGUUAUUAUACAAUCCAUUUGGGGUUGUAAAGUCCUUCCCAUUUGAAUAGUUAAUUUGCAUCAGUUGAUCUUCCUUCUGAGUUUUAUUAAAAGAAAAACGAAUAAAUCUCAUACAUUCUAAACAUUGAAGUAUUGAAAUAUGAGUUCCAACUCUACAAACUACAUGCGACUACUGUCUUUAACGAAACAGUUAACCUCUUACGUGAACCAAGGUCGUCACUUGGACGCCCUCUCUCUCUUCCACACCAUGCAAACCUCUCCAUCUCUCACUCUCGACCCUUUCGUCUUCCCUCUCGUUCUCAAAUCCUGCGCUGCCAUCCACCGCCCCCGACUGGCCUCCUGCAUUCACGCUCACGCCACCAAGUCAUCUCUCCUCUCCAACCAAUUUGUCGCUUGCGCUCUCAUCGACAUGUAUGGCAAAUGCUUCUCCAUCUCUCUGGCCCGCAAGUUGUUCGACGAAAUCCCUCAACGAAACGCCGUUUCUUGGAGUUCCAUGAUUUCUCUCUACAUGCGCUACGGCCGUAUGGAUGCGGCGUUGGCGCUGUUCCAAUCUAUGGAUGUUGAGCCAAACGAGUCCACGUUUAAUGCCAUCAUAGCAGGUUUGACUGAAGUGGGAGAUGGCCCUUCUAAGGCUAUUGGAUUUUAUAGAAGAAUGCAGGAACUGGGUUUGAGGCCGAAUUUGAUUACUCUUCUUGCUUUAUUACCCGCUUGCGUCGUCUUAGCUGCAUUGAGUUCGAUUAAAGAAAUUCAUGGCUACGCGUUUCGAAGCAACAUAGAAUCUCACCCGCAGUUGAGAACUGGUUUAGUGGAAGCUUACGCGCGAUGUGCAAGUCUUGUUAACGCUCGAAAUGUAUUCCAAUAUAUGAAAGAAAGAGAUGUAGUUGCUUGGAGUAGUUUAAUAUCAGCUUACGCUUUACAUGGUGAGGCGAGGGCUGCACUGGAAGUUUUUAAACAAAUGGAGUUGGCGAAAGUGCGGCCUGAUGACAUUACUUUUCUCGGAGUAUUAAAAGCGUGUAGCCAUGCUGGAUUAGCUGAUGAAGCAUUGGGUUAUUUUGAUAGAAUGAGAAUAGAUUACAAAGUUGAAGCAAGUGCUGACCAUUAUUCAUGUUUAGUUGAUGCAUUGAGCAGAGCAGGCAGGUUGUACGAGGCUUAUAAUGUUAUAAAAGAAAUGACUAUGAAGCCAACUGCGAAGACUUGGGGAGCACUACUUGGUGCUUGUAGAACUUAUGGAGAAGUAGAGUUGGCUGAGAUUGCUGGGAGAGCUUUGUUUGAGAUAGAGCCAUCUAAUGCAGCCAAUUAUGUGCUGUUGGCUAAGAUUUAUGCUAGUGUAGGAAGAUAUGAGGAAGCUGAGAGAAUGAGAAUGGAAAUGAAGGAAAGGGGAGUGAAGGUAGCUCCUGGUAGCAGUUGGAUUUGAAUCAAGACCUAGGAACUUUGGUGGAUUUUUCUGUUGCAGCUUUAAAGAUUAUCAUUGCCUUGUUAGGAUCUUGGUGAUGACUUCUUGUUUAGCUCUACCUAUGCUAAUUCACCAUUCAAAGAAGCUUUUUUGAGGUGAACGAACAAUGGAAGGCAUAGCUAGCCGGAGUUGGCUCCCAAUGCCAUAUUAGGUGCAAUUUUGGACAUUGGAAUCCAUAUUGCUGCUAAGCUGACUGGUUUCUGGCAUUUGAUAUGGAUGAUAAUAUGAAGGCAGAUAAACGUUUGGCUGUUUCCAAAUGACCAAUGUGCACACGCUUUUACUUUGUUAUUGUUCCAAUAAACCUUUAAUAUUAUGGUUUCGGUAUCAAGUUACCUAUCCUCCCUCGAUUAUCCAAUGUACAAAAAGGGAUAUAUAUACAAACUCUACUAUUUCUGAACCGUUUAAAUAGUAGCAGUAUACGAUAUCUCUUCUUUUUAAUGAAACAGAGAGAAUAUUAGAAGCCAUCACCUGCACAGCCUCCUAUUAACAAAAUUUCUUUGGAGGUUCAUACCUCAUGGCGUGCAGUAAAUCUCUGAAGUCUCCAUGUUCUAGCACAUGAUGAGGGGCUUGACAGAGUAAAGGUCAUUUCAUGUUGGCAAUGGCGCCCCAACAUCAUCAUCAUCAUCAUCAUCAUCAUCAGACAAUAUCACAAGACAAGGGCACACAUGUUCCUUAAUUUCAUAUUAGAGAUUCUUGUAAUAUUUUCAGACUGGAGCAUAGCAGCAGCAAAUUGCAUCCUUUUUAUUUCGGUCUCUCCAUCAUAUGUUCUUUGCAGCAGCUUUCCGGACCCUUUUCAAACAUUGGACCUUCACAAAUAUAAGAACAGUGUUUCUAUUGAAACUAUAGAUUGUGGGAAACUGAUUGUGAUUUUAUGUAGCUAAUUGAUUGAUUAAGAUCAGAAACUUUCAGGAACUAUAAUCAAUUUUCAAAAUGAAUGUUUCUAACUAUCUAUGGAGGAAAGUUAAAUAGAAUGUUUCACCCAAAAAGCAAGAGAAAAGCUUAUCUUAUUAUUGCAUUUGUAGAGAAACAUUUUGCUUAAUCAGCAACAUAUGUAUGGAUUAAAAGCCAAUAUAACCAUUCUUAGCCCAUAACAAUAGUUAUGGUAUACAUCCUGAAACCUCAAACUCUACAGCUUACCAAAAAAUAAAAAGAAAAAGAAAAAGUGAAUCACUGUUCCUCACCAUCCUCUUCUGCAAAACUCAGAGCCUGACAAACAGAGUCCUCCUCUGCUUCUUCCUCCAUAGAAAAGUAUGAUUUCCGUCCCGUCAAUUCGGCAACUCUUUUGGCUGGACCUGAAUCCCGAGGACUUUCAGCCCAAACCCUGACAGUUCUAAUCUUUGGUAGCACAUCGUUGAUCUUAUCAAUUGACUGCGGAGAUUCAUCCUGUGUUGCAUCCUUUAGAAUGAUCACUUCACUAGGAAUUUCCCACUUCUUUUUCACUCUGCUCUCACUCUUUUGAUUCUUGCAGGAUUCCACUACCCGUUCAUUUGAAACACGCUUCUUAUCGUGCCUGUUGCUCUCCUGCUUAUCGUUUUCUGUUAAAGAUCGCUUUCGAGCAUCCUUCACCGUGAAAUUCCCAUUGCUUUGAUUGCCAAUCUGAUUGUACCGGCUGCUCACAACUCUCCCAGGUUUCAAUGGCUUCUUUGCUGUCAACGAUUUUUCUCCAUCUUUGAACAGCCUUUUUGGCUGAAUUGUAGAAAGAACCCCCUCGUCUUUCUUCACAGACCUUUUAGAUCCUACCGUUGUCGCUGCCGGCUUAGGAGCAAGAACCUUGGAAACCGUUUUACGUGACUUGGGGCUAAGACUCAAGCUCUUACCUCUAUCUCUUGUGCACUUGCCUUCAUCAAUAUCUUGAAGCUUAAAGAAACAGGACUUGCGGCGACUCUGUAUUGAUUGUAUGGGAGUUGUUGUUUCCUGUUUCAAGAAUUGCCUUGAUUUCGUUGCAGAAAAUAUCUCCGUUGGACCUAAACUAACCCCCCUUCGAUUCACUUUUGUUUUAACGCUUGAAAACAGAGGAUCUUCCAUCUUUUUCGUCGUCUCCAAAAUCUUGAUGCUCUGUUUUUGCUCCAUGAAUUUCGCAGGCACUAUUCUUCCUCUCAUCGAAAUGCUUCUUGCAUUAUAUUCGGCUUUUUCAAGUCGAAGUGACUCGAGUUUCGCUGACAAACGAGCGACCUCCUUCUCUAUCUCUUCAAUCUCCAUAUCAAUCUUUUUCGCAUCACGCUUUUUCUCUUCUUCCUUGCAAACCCCACUCUUCAUUUUCGCUGAAAAUGGCUCUCUGGUGUUACCAGUAACAUUCUUGGAACUAAGAGGCUUAACAACAGACGCAGUAGAUUUGAAGGAAACUGGGGAUUUUAUCCAAAGGGGGCUCUGGUUUUCUUUACUUCCAUCAGAUUCCAGUGACUGAUUUACCGAUCCUGAAUUGAAAUUACACCAAGAAUCCUUGAUGGCGUUUGUAUCUUCAGAGUCUCCAUUGUCAAACGCCGCAUUGUUCCAAACCUGAAGCUCUGGCACAUUAAACGAGUCUGGGUAUUGAAGGAUACUCAUUUCUGUACACUUUAAAUCGAGAGAAGAAAAAAAAAAUCAACAACCAAAUUUGAGCGUUUAAAGGAAUACGCAGAAUUGAAUGUCUUUGAAGGAUAUUGGUAAAAGGAAAUGAAAUAUAAAAAGCAAUGGAAGGGAAUUUAUUUUCUUGGAAGAUAUAUGACCGUUGGGCAAAAGUAGACGUUAGAGAGUGUGUUGGUUAAAUCUAAGCCGUUAGAUCAUAUACGCUCCCAUAGACGCUCCCAUUUGAUUUAAAGGUUAAAAAAUAAAUAAGAAUUUAAGAUUCCACUGUAUAACCGUAAUCAAUUUCUCUUUUUUUACGGUUCAUCCUCCUUUUUUCAUUACGCUUUUAUGUGCAUUGGGAUCAAAUUUAAGCCUUACUGUUUUCUUUAAAAUUAGUCACAUUAAUUUGUUUAAAUACUUUUUUUAAUAAUAUAAUAUACUUCGUGUUAAUAUAACACUACACAUAAUUUAAAAAUUAUAAAAUAUUUAUAAAAUUCAAGAAAAAAAUAGUACUGAAGAUUACCACUAGAGUUGUCACAUUUAAAAAUUUAAUGCCUUAAUUAAUAUUUCCGUUAAAAAUAUAUAUAUAAUUUUCUAAGUCAGCUUGCGGAAUUAAAAAGAUACACUAUCAAUUUACCAAAUACAAAUCUAUGUAUAAAAAGAGUUUUAGGGCUCUUUAUAUUUUUUAUUUUUUUACUAUGCUCACGUUUCAGAUUUAAUCUUUAUAUUUUAAUUUGACAUAAUUUGAUUCUUUACAUUUAUAAUGGCAUUAGUUAAUUCAAAUAAUUAAUAUUCUUAGCUAUUAAUCUAACAAAAUAGUGACCAUAACAUUAUAAAUGGAUAAUGUUAGUAAUCAUUUUGAAACUUUUCAUACUUUGGUAAUCAAAACAAAAACUAAGUAACAAUAGGUGAUUAACGAUGUAUUUGAAGAAUAGCGAUUUAACAAUUCAUGUUAAUAUCCGUUACCAAAUUAAUGAAGAGAUUACUUAAAUAAUGAAAUUUUGAAUAGUUGAUUAUUUAAAUUGUAACUUUUUUUUUAUCUAAUCAUUCAUUAAUAAUAAAUUAUUUUACACCUAAUCUUCUAUUUUGGUAAUAGAAGUAAUUAAUUUUGUAAGCUUUUUUUGUCUUGGAGAUGGUUUCUUUCCCGGGAAAACGUAGUCGUUUUCAUGGCUGGAGAAAGAGAAGGAAAGCAAUUAUAACCAUGAAUGAAAAAGGAAUUAAUUUAGUAAUUCACGUGGGAACUGAAUCAAAACAAAGUCCAGAUGGGAUUUAUAGGAUAAAGCAUGUAAAUGGAUAACAACUAAAACGAAUGUGACCACAUCUCUGUAUUUUGUGCAACACUGUCGGGCAUGUGUUUAAUAUCUACCAUGAUUAUAGUUUAAAAAGCUCUUCCUUGAAUUGCAAUUUUUUUUUGACUUAAUUCAUUUUUAAAAUAAUUUUUCGAAUACAACUAUGAGGUUAUUAUAAUAUGUAUAAUUUCAAAACUGACUUACUCCAUUGGAUUGUUUGAGAUGUAAUGGUGAGAGGCAAAUUGGUGCUGUCAUGUUCACACAUAUGAUUCUUUUUCUACACCUACUUUGUUCAGUAGUAGCAUCUUUUUCUUUUGGAUUGGUAGUAAUUUGGGUUUAUCUUAAAAUAUUUUCUUUUUGGGUUUCAUUUUAUAGUUUCUGAUAAAUAAUCAAUCAAGAUGUGUUAAAAGCCUGGGACUAGUCUAUAGGCCUGGCAAGGAGAGAAGACCCUACAAGAUAUUGGUAUCAUGAAUCUGCAUAUAUACAAAGAAAGCAAAGCAACUAUUGUGUUGUUAAUAGACUUUUGGUAAAGCACCCAUCACCAAAAUACCCACAUUCCUAGGACCCCCUAUAUGUUGUUGUAGAGAAGAGAUGCACAAAUGUCUAGUAAGCCUGGCUGGUGGGUUGCUUCCAAUCACCCCAUCUAUAACUCUCCUAACCCAACUUUGCCUACGAUGCCAGGGUGUCUCUUGGAAAUAAGGAUUAUUUUGUAGUAUUAUUCCCACUUUUGCUUUGUCCUCACAAUAAAGCAUUAGAAUGAAUUGAAAACGACAAUUAUACCACUGAUUUAACUCCACUAUUUGGUUUAAUCACCUUGAAAUUUUCUAUGACUUUAAUCCAAAACCUAGAAGACAACCCAUGUUUAUGAUACAACUGAGAGGAGGAUAAUUAUUGGAGAAUGCAGAUAAAUUUAAAACCUCCAUAAAACAUUAAAAGAGUAAAACAACAUAAUUAAAAAGAUUAAAAACAACAAACAACAUAAUUAAAAAGAUUAAAAACAACAAUGUUCCUGGUAAUCAGGAUUCAGGUCCCUUCCGUGUUUAAAUUUAAACAGAAAAAAAAAAAACAAUGAACGCGUGUGCAACACUUAUGACAAAAGGUUCACAAAUCUCUUCAUGUCUGCCUUCCUCUGCUGCUCCGGUUUGUAAACUAUCUCCGCAGUAACAAUUUGAAUUGCAGGCCUUCAAAAAACAAGAAUGAAAACAUAAAAUAAGAGCCCGAACUGUGAUUGAUAUAGUCCACACAAAAUUAGGGGCCCAAGGCAGUGGGUGGAGGAAUCAUACCAAAAAUUUCCGAGUGAGGUUCAGUAAAAUCCAGGAAUGGGCACCCAAAAGACGUAAAAAUAUGUUUUGAUAAUAUGGAUCGUAAUAAUAAGGAGGAAACCCAAAUCGGGUUGGCACCAUCUCUUUCCUAGGAGUAACCUUCUUCACUUCAACUCUCUUGUUGUUUAAUAGAUGGAAAUUAGUUCGCAAAACAAGGUUGGCUGACUCCUCUGCUUCAUAUGUCACAAACCCAAACCCUCUGCUUCUCUUAGUUUCUUUGUCAUGUAUUACCACUGCAUCAACUAUGCUUCCAAAUUUCUCGAAAUAUCCUUUGAAUUCUUCAUCUGUUAUGGAUCGAGGCAAUCCUCCCACAAAUAUCUUCCUCUUCCCUAUUUCUACUUUUGGUUUUGCUGGUCUUACCUCCACCUGAUUAUUCAGUUACUCAAUAAAUUCAUAUAUCAAACAUUAAGAUGUAGAAAAGAGAAACAAGAAGUUACUUACUUUUCGACCGAGAAUAAUAUGUUGUUGUUGAAGGGAAAUUUGAGCCUUUGAAGGAUCAACAAAAGUAAUGAAAGCUAUGGAUUUUUUAGCGUAGACAACAACAUGUUUAACUUUACCAUACGCACUGAAGUGUCGUCUCAAUAUCAUUUCAUUCAUCUCAGUAGAAAUUCCAUUUAUGACUAACUUAGGAUUUGUAAACUCCAUCUCCCUAAAUAAUUAUACAGAGAAUUUCAAACGAUUACACAGAAAUUUAAACAAUUAUACAAAGAAUUUCAUACGAUUAGACAGAAAUUUAAGAAGGUUGAAAACUACACAUAGUACUUAUAAGAUAAAAAUUGUGUUUACAGAGAUCACCUUGGAUUAUAAUUCCUUCUUUGCAUGGUUUACUUGUUGUAUAUUGGUCAUUCAUUAAUUAAAUUGUUUCCUUUUUGCUGUCUAAUUUAACCUUUUUAAAUUUUUAAGUAUUUAUUUAUUAAUUUCAAAACAGCAAGUUAUUAAUGUUUUGAACAAGUUAAUUAGGCGAUUUUACAUUAAUUUUAAAUACAUUAGAAUUAAAGUUUUUAGAUAUCUAAACCAUUAAUAUUUUUUAGUUAACUUGAUAAUAUAAAUAGAUUUUUUUUCAUAAAUUAUAUUAGAUAUACACCCAAUUAUUAUGUGUUGUACUGCAAAUUUUGGUCAUACAAAUUUUAUAUUUUAAUUUUCAAAUUUCUUUUAGAAAUCAAAAUAUGUAAAUUUUAAGAUUUUGAAAUUCAUUGUUUGGAUAAUUUAUUAUUUUUAAAUUCUUUUUAGAAAUUAAAAUAUUUGAAAUUUAAGAUUUUGAAUUAAUCCAAAUUCAUUGUUUGGAUAGUUCCAAUUUAGAUUUGGAUUCUUAAAAAUAUUUUCUAAAAUUUAAUUAUUUAUGAAGAUUUGGAAUAUUGUUGUUUGAAUUAGACCAGACCAUCCUAUCUAGUUGGGAACCAGCUAGGGUAUUGAUCUGAAAAAAGGCAUUCAACUUGUUGACUCAGAAAUUAAUAUGGACUAGUUGAAUUGAAAAAAAGAUCAGUUAAUUGGGUGUUUGAACCAGUUAAACCAAUUUAUUUAUUUUUAUGAAUUUUUUAAUUAUUUAUUUAAUUAAACAGGACAAAAUGGUCAAACCAAUCGCACCGAUCAAAUCAGUUAGACUGAAAAAUCGAUGGCUAGAUCAAUUCAACCACUAAUUCUAUUCUAAAAACCUUGCUUUUGAAUGAAAAAAAAUUUCUCCAUUUUUUUAUGAACAAUUUAAGAUAAAUUGAUUGCUUCUAUAUAUUAUUUUAAAGACUUUUUCUUUGGAAUUAUUCUUGAACCAACAAAAAUGUAACUUUUUAUAUUUAUAUAUUUUAAAAUUUUUUGGGUUAAAAUAUUUAAAAAAAAAAACUUAACUUCAAUGUAUUAUUAAUACAAGUCAUUUAUACUUUGUUUACACCUAAAUAAAUUUAUAUAAUUUAGUUUGUAAUUGAAUAAAUGGAUUUACAUAGGUAUAAAUUAAAAGACAAGGUUUAAAAAUUAAAAUUAAGAGAAUAAUGAUAUAAAUGAAAAUUUUGAAUAUUUAUAUUGUAUUACGUUAAAUGCAUGAAGCUUUGUCACUGUUUUCAAAACUAGACUGGACUAGUCGGUUAUACCGAUUGAAUUGGAAUUGGUCGAAGUACCAGUUUGAAAAAAGGAUCAAACAAGUUGACUUGUGAACUGACUGAACUGGUCAAACCUAUCAACCAAACCUAAUGAACCGAUUUUUUUAUUUUUAAAAAUUUAUUCAAUUGAACCGAGAAUCAAUGAUCUAAUUAGUUUGCCCAUUGGUCUAGUUUUGAAAACAUUAUAAAUAAAAUUAUUUAUUUAUUGGGUUUUCAAGGUAUCAUAAAAACAAAAAGAACAAAAAAAUUUUCAUCUCUUCUAAUUAAUCUUGGAUGUUGAAAUUUUCAAUUUUUAGAAUGGAUUUUAAAAUCCAAACCUUAACUCUUAUAAAAUUAGACUUGGAUUUGUCUAAAUUCAAAUCCAAUUCUUUAUUUAUUAUCUAAAUAAAGAAUUUGAAUGUUAAUUAUGAUCCAAAGAGGCCACUAAGGGCUAGUUUGGUAAUGCUUUUGAAAAGUGCUUUUGAAAAGUGCUGUGAAAAAGUGUUUUUUAGAAGUGCUUUUGAAAAAUUUGAUUUAAAAUUUGAGUGUUUAGCAUUGCUGUCAAAAAAUACUUUUGAGAAAUAAAAUGUCCAUUUUAGACAUGUUAUUAUCAAGUAACAAAUAUACAUUUAAAUAAUAUUUAAAUUAGUUAAUAUUAUUUUAUUUUAGUAAGAAUAUAAAAAAUUUAUUAUAACUUCUUGUUAAUAUUUUAAUAUAUAAAAUAUAAAUUUAAAAUAUUUUUAAGCAAUAAAUAUUAAUUAUUUAUAAAAUUUAAUUAGAAUAUAUAAAAUAUAUUUUAAAUAUUUAAAUAUAACUAUUAAAUAUUUGUAAUUAGUAUUUUAAAAAAUAUAUUUUUUUUAUUUUUAAUUAAUGAUUUUAACACAUUUGUAAUUAAGUACCAAGAAAAAAAAGGGGAAGUACUAUGUUAUUGGAGGAGUGAAAAAGUAAUUAAGCACUAAAAGUACUUUUAGGAGAGGAAAAGCUAAAAAUUUUAGCUUCUCAUUUUUAGAAGUGCUUUUCAAAAGCAUUUCUGAAAAGUUAAAAAUUUCAGCCAAAAUCAACUUGUUUUACAUAGCUUUUCUUCCAGAAGUGCUUUUAGAGCUAAAAGUACUUUUAAAAAGCAAUGCAAAACUGGCCCUAAAUAACUUUUCAACCAAGAAUAAUAUGUUGUUGUUGUUGGAGGGAAUUUUGCGCUUUGGAAGGAUCAACAAAAGUAACAAAAGCUAUAGCUUUGCUAAAGUAGACAACAACAUGUUUAAUUUUACUAUACGCACUGAAGUAUCGCCUUAAUAUCCUUUCAUUUAUCUCAGUAAAAAUUUCAUUUAUGACCAACUUAGGAUUUGUAAACUCUAUCUUCCUAAACGAUUACAUAGAGAAAUUCAAACAAUUACACAAAAAUUUAGAAAGUUUGAAAGCUACUUUUUUUACCCAAAUCCAAAAUAUGACUUUUGAGUUUUGAAAGACAAUUUAUUAAAAUACUCUUAUUUGUAUUGACCAUUUAAAAUGUAUUUAAAAAUAUGGAUUAAUUUAUUCUUUUUGUAUCAUUAUAUUAAAUUAUUUAACUAUUAUUUAUUAUUAUAUUUGAAAUUUUAAAAUUUUUCAUGGAUCAUUAAAUUUAUAAAUAAUUUAUUAAUUAUUAAAAUGCAUUUAAAAUGCAUAUUUUGUGUAUGAUAAUAUUAAAUUAUUUAAAUAUUAGCUAAAAUAAUUUAUUUUUAAUUUUCAACGUUAUGUAUAAAAUAAACAUUUUAACUUUCCGCUGCAAAUUUUGACAGCAAUGUCAAACACUUAAAAUUAACAAGCCACACUUUUCCACAACACUUUACCAUAACACUUCUCAAAAAAACUUAUUCAAAAACAUUUCUCAAUAAAUAACAAUGCCAACAUUAAUCUUUAGUAGAGGUGAUCAUGGGUCGGGUCGAGUCCAAGUAAAAAUUUAGGCCCAUUUGCUAGGUAUAGGUCCGACCUGACCAAGAUAAAAAUGCCAAAAUCUGGGCCCGACCUGGCUCGCCCAUAUUAAAUUUUUUAUAUUAUAUUAUUUUUACAUAAUUUUUAAAUAUAUAUAAUACAUUAAAAAUAUUAAAAUAAAUAUUUCCAAAUAAAUUGAAAAUAAAUUUUAAAAAAUAUGUAUACUUAAAUAAUAUUAAGAUAGAUGCAACUUAACAAGAAAAUGCCUCUAAAAUAAUAAUAAAAUUAACAAUAAAACAAGUGUUAUACAAUAUUCUAAUAAUAACAACAAAAUAGUAGCAACAUAAUAGCGAAAUGGUAAAAAAAUAAGGAGAAAAUAAAAAGAAAAUAUCAUUAAAUUAAUAAAAAUAACAAUUUUUUUGUCAUUUAAUGAAUUCGGGCCGGGCUCGGGCCAAAAAUGUAUUACUUGAGACCCAGUCUGUUUUUAAAAAGGGUCUUAUUUUUUUCUCAAUGACAUUUUUUGAGCCUAUAUUUUUACCCAAAUCCUCUUACUUUUCGGGUAGGACUUCGAGUCAAGCCAGAUGACUCAACCUAUGAGCAAGUCUAACCCUUAGUAACCCAUAUCAUUUAUUUUUAUUCAUUUUUUAUUAUAUGUUCAAAGGAGACAGGAAAUAAACCAAAUUACUGUGAAAUGGUAAAAAACCGAAAACCAAGAAAAAAAAAAGGUUGAAUCGAUUAUAAAUUAUAAAUUUUUAUUUGAUGAUUGUUAAAUUGAUACUUGAUGGAUUGAGUCAGUAACAUGAUUCUUAAAGGUAUCUUAUAUAAACUCAACAUGUAACAAUUUUUAAUGUAUUUAUUUUUCUUUUGUAUUAUGAAAUAAUUUUAUGUCUAUUUUAAUUAUUUUAGUUGGAUUAAAAUUAUAAUUCAAAUUAAAAUUUUACAUUUGCAAGGUAUUUAAAAAUUAAUUUAUAUAGCUUUUGCAAUAUAAUAUUAUAUCUAAUAUUUUCAUAUUAAGUUGUUUAUUUUUGUAUAAUCCAAAUUUAAAUAUGAAAAAGAAAUCAUCUUGGUCAAAAUUUAAUAUAACUUGUAAGGUCCUUGAAAUAUUGAUCUAAAUAUUUAAAAAAAAAGAGAAUAUUUUUAUAUUAAAAUAUAUUUUCUAAAAUUAAAUAAAAUAAACUUUAUAAGUUUUUUUCGUAACAAUUUAUUUACUUUUAAAUUUUUAUAUAUACCCCUUAUUUAUACUUUUGAUUUCGUCCAUGUGUAUGUAUGAAUAGGGAAAAUGAUGUAUGUACACUAUUAUAUUUUUAAAUAAGUUUUAUUCUUAAGUACUUUUGGUAUAAUUAACAUUUUAACAAUAAAUAAGUUGAAUUUAUCAAUAUAAAUUUAAUAUCAUGUCUAUAAAUUUUCAAAUCAAUCUAAUAUAUUCAUUAUAUCAAUCUAUAAUAAGUAGAUAAAAAUUAGCAAUGAUGAUGAUGAUUGAAUUAAGGAUUUUAAAUUAAAGGAGUAGGAGGAUUAAAUUUUAAACUUUUAAAAUAAAAGGAUUAAAUCUCAAAUUCUAUACAAGUGGAUGUAUUUUAACUUUAUCAUUAUGUUGGAACUUUACAACAUAUAUCAAACACUUGAUCUAAAGGUGCAUAAUCGCCGGUUCCUUCAUCUUUAUGAGCAUAUAACGGUUGUUUUACCUUUGAACACAAACAUCCCUCCCUGAUAGUACCAAAGAGGAAAACUUAGGCUUACCUGUUGCAGUACACUACUUGUUUCGUCAGGGGUGGCCUCAAUUGUAUAGGUUUUUACAGCUUUUUGCAGGGACUUAAAUCUUGAAAACACUUUAGUCUGCACGACAUAGACAGUGUAUGAUUGACAAGCAUGUGUUUGCGUUACUUUUACACUCCAUCAAUGUAAUAGAUGUUUGUGUCCAAAAUGACUCAAUCUGAGAAAUCGAGAACAAAAUAAUGCAGAGAAUGGAAAAGAGAUGUACACUUGCUACGUUAAAUUAUAACACAUAAAAAAAACUAUACUAAAUAUAUAAUAUUUAAAUAUUAAAAUAAUAUUAAGAUAAAUAUAUAAAAAAAUUUAUAAAUAAAAAAUAUAUAAAAUUAUUAAAUAUUCAAUUAAAAUAAUAUAAAUAUUUAAAAAAUCAAAAAUAAUAUUAGCGGACUUGAAUAAAAUUUUAGUUUUAUAUUUUGAAUUGGAUUAAACUUAGACAAGUAUAAAAUAUAUUAAUAUUAUACUUAGAUCUAGCUUAAACAUGAUGACAUGAACACUUUUUACCAUGCUUCAUAAAUAAAUGUUAAAAUUUGAAAAUUAUUCACCUAUAUAUAUAUAUACACACAUAUAUAUCAAUAACAGCUUCAUUCAUCUUGUUUCAUUUCAUUUGAUAUUUGUUAUGCAUUGCACAUAAAAUUUAGGUAAAAUAAUAAAUUUAAAAUAUCAUAAUGGAGUAUGCCUCCAUUGUUUAUGAAAAACAACUCUCUACUUGAAAUCUGGUUUUAAAGUCUACCCAACAAUUCAAACUUUUCCAUUUCUAAUUUAGAGGAAAAGGAGAUCAAAAGUAAAGGCUGUUAUAGUUUAGCUUCUGGUUUUGUUCUCUUUACCCCACAAUAUAUGGAACAAGACUCUUCUUAUUUAUGUCUCUAUUGAGCACGUUAUACAUCUGAAUCUCAUCCCUGACUUUAUAAAUAAAAGUCUGUUUCAUUCAUUAAAAAUUGCUUCCAAAAAAUACUAUGAUUUUCUAGAAAACAUUAUGAAUUUUCAUAAAAUAUUUUUUGUUAUUUAACAUAUAUUUUUUGAUACAUUUUUGUAAGUUGUUUUAAGUUAAAUAAACAUAAAAAUAAAUAUUUUCGUAAUUGAAAAAAUAAUUCUUUUCAUUAAUUAAUUUAAACAUAUAUAUAUUUAAUCAAACUUAAAUAAUCCGUUAGACUUAAUUAUUCGCAAGUUGUAUAUGUUUUUAAUAAGGGCCUUAUUACAUAUAUAUAUAUAUAUAUAUAAGCAUAUACUUUUUAUACAAAUUUGAAUAUAUAGUCAAUACAAGACCUCUUUCCAAAACAACUUUGUUUUUGCUACAGUAUGGAAUGAAAACAAAUAAACCUAUGACCAUUCUAGGAAUAGCAAAACCAAUGCUAUCCUCUUGUAAAAUUUGCAGUAAAGCCUCUGGAGGAGAGUAAAAUUAGCAAAGCCCCAAGCUCAUGGAACCAGCUUCUUUUGCCAUUGCAUCUGGAGCUCAAUUCUCUUCACGAUAAGUGUGAGUAAUUUGGAGAUCCCAAUCUAGCUACAUCCUAUGAUGAAUUGAACGCAGCAGGCCAUUAGAUGAAGGUUCAUUUAGAGUGGAUGUCAGAAUCUUGAUUGUGGAUAUACUAUCAAGUUUCGAGAAGCACCUUCCUUACUCCUAAGGUUCUAGCCACAUUAAGACCAUCAUAAGCACCCCACAGCUUGACAUUAUCUACUUCAAAACAGCAUUUUUGGCUCCUUUGCUAAGCUUUUAACAUGGGCACAAUACUUCCAAAAUUCCCAAAACCAAGUUAUUUAUGUAACAAAAGUCAGAUGCUUCAAACUUCUUGGCAUGAUGUAAACCACCAGCUCUUGAUGCCCACAUAUCAUGGUAAUACGUUGAGCACUUACAACAAAUAAUACAAAUCUAUAAGCAUAUGUAACAUAAAUAACAAUACUGGACCGAUGAUUUGAGAAACACGCGCCAGAUUUUCCAAAAUUAUUUAAUACAAAAUAAAUCUUCGACUGGAGGUUAAUCGGUUAAUUCAAUAAGAAAUGGGGGUUAGCGCUCAAUUUCGUUGGUCCCAUCCAAUUCAAGUGCAUGCAGUUUCCUUAUUCAACGAAGGAAUUUUUAAGUUCAACCAAUCUAUUUUCAAAAUAGGAAGUGGAUAAAUAAAAAUUUUGAGUCUUUCAUUUGUCCAUCAUUAUAGGCAUCACCAUCCAUAUUAUUUAAGGAAUUCGAACCCGAAUUCUAUUUAUGAUUCCUUAUUUCUAUUUCUUUAGCCUUGUUUCAAUUUCAUUUCGUAUUUUAUUUUAGCAUGUCGUUUUUUUUUUUUACUUUACCUCCAACCUCUCCCCCUUUUUCCAUCUAUAAUACUUUUUUUUUUCAUUUCAGGGUCAAAUUACAUAUACAACAUAUAUUACUGUCAAGGGUGAAUUUCUUAUUUCUUAUUAUUGUGCAAGAACCAUGAAUGUAUCAUAACACAAUUAUGCAAAUAACACAAAUUUGCUAGUGAGGUAACAUACCAACAGUCAUCACGCCUAAACACCUAAAGUAAAUGAAAAGAAAAGGCCCAUGGAUAACUCCAAAAUCUACACCUAAUUCCCAAACUCAAAAAUUAAACACAGAAAUCUAAUAUAGCACUAUAAAUCAAAACACCAAAGAGCACGUUAACAAAGCAGUAAACCAUCCGGGUAAAAGCCACAAAAGAACAUCAGGCACCUAAUCCCUAUGUCCAAUACGUAUGAAAGCCGAAACCCAUUCUUGACAAUGUAGCAAUGAACACCUAAUUUGCGUUCUUAGACUCCCAAAAAAUAGAAUCUAGCAGCAAUAAAACAAAGAUAGUGACGAUAAAAACAACGAAACAACGUGAGAUUGAAAACAUAACAGAGAUAAUGACAACAAACUCUCAUGGUAAAUUAGACAAGCACCUAAAGUGCAAACUGUUACUAAAAAAAUCAAGCCAAGGUGAUUGAAGUCAGAAAUUAAAGUAAGAUACUGUAAUUAAAAGGCAAAAAACAACGAAUAAAAAAAAAUAUAAUGACAGUAAAAAGAUAAAACCAACAUAAAAAAUUCAGAUUACAGUUUCUAACAAUUUAUACAAAAUCAGCUUGACACAGCAUGGGAUUUGGCUCACAGUGAUCAAGCAGUAAACGAAGCAUGACGAUACCACUGAAUUGACAAAUCAACAGUUUGUAAAUACAACCCUUUCAGAAACUGCUGAGCAGUUCGAUACCACUGAAUUUAUAAAAGAAUGGGUUUUUUUUCCUUUUUUAAAUAAAAUACUUUUCAAACAAUCUUCUUUUCAGCAAAACUUUUGGGUACUUAGAUUUAGAUUUAUGUAAACUCAUUUUACUGGAAAAAAAAAGAUCUUCAGAUCUUGGAGAAGCAAAAAAUCUCACCUGUAGUGGAGUUGAUGACAGCGCUGGUGAGAGCCAAAGAACGCCAUGAGAGAGAGGCGGGCCGGCGAGAGGAGAGGAGGUGAGAAGUGAAGAUUUUGGGAGGAUAUGGCUCUUUCAAUUUAGAUGCGUAAAACAUCUUACCGAGUCAAGAAGCGGGAAAUUAGGAAAAUAAAACUCAUGAUUUAGCGGGAAUAGUCAGCGGAAUUUGGGCCUUCAUGUUAAGCCCGUAAUGACCUUGAAGUUGGGUUUUGUUAGAGCGGACGUAUUCUUUGUAACAGAUUAUUGUUGUUUCCACUAAUAAAGCCCAGGACAGCCCACAGCAGUUUUUGUUUAUUUUAUUUGCAUGAACCAUCAGUCUGUCCACCGACAGCUCUGCAACGUGGAUUUGACAGUAGGGAACACGUACUACUAUCAUCUUCAAUUACAAGUUACAAGAAAAACAACUAUGAGCACUUAGGAGCUCAGCACGUAGCAAAGAAUUUGCCCAUCUUGCCUCGAACGGCGAAAUGCUACCCAUUUCCAACUGCUAUGAAACACGUGGUUUGAGUUUGGUACUAGCUUUGUGAAAAUUAACAAAAAAAAAAGAAACCGCGUUCCCACUGCCACUUUUUCGUCAACUCACGAUUGUAUAUGAAUCUUAAUCACAUCUAUGCCCCUAUCUAGUUUCUAUUAUCAUGGAUUUCAUAUGGACAUUUAAGUCAUAAAAAUCCAAGUGCGUCCAACCUAGCCGCCCAGAAACACAAAACCAUUAGCUAUUUCCACCUCUCAAAACUACGAGCCACAGCAAUAGCCUGUAGUUUACUUCCUAAACUUUUGUCCUCUUUUUCUGGUCCAGCUAACAAAUAAUCAUCCCUACUCCUGUCCUGUUUCUCUCUCUAUAUAUAAGAAGCCCCUUCACUUACCCAUCAACGAAUUCACAACAUCACAGUGUAUCUCUCUUUACAUAACCUUCUUCAAUUUCAACCAUCAAGAAUCACGAUUCAAGUAUUUGCAAAGAUGAGUUCAACUAGCAGAGCGUGGAUUGCUGCAGCUAGUAUUGGAGCUGUGGAGGCUCUGAAAGACCAAGGUAUCUGCAGAUGGAACUACACAGCAAGGUCAGUUGUGCAGCAUGCCAAGAACCAUGUGAGGUCAGCUUCACAGGCCAAGAACCUCUCUUCUCAAUCCUCAGCUGCAAUUUCUAAGGGACUGUUCCAGUCUAAACAAUCAGAAGAGUCCUUGAGGACUGUCAUGUACCUGAGCUGUUGGGGUCCCAACUAAGUCUUAACUUGGUCCAAUAGAUUACAAGUUAGACGAAACCAACAUCCUUUGGGUGAAUCAUCGACUCAUCAUGAGUGCAAGCUUUGGCCAUUCAAAACAAGUUUCUGAGCGAACAAGAUGGAACAUGCCUGAGCUUUCCAUGGGUGGGUUCUGGUCUUUGUGAUGUAUAUAGGAAAUUUCAAAAAAUAUGUAUGAGAGGAAUAUUGAUCUAUCAUCAUAUAACUAACGAAAUGGAUUUCGAGAAUUGCUUACUUCUCAUUCUUUGUGCUACUUUCUCCUUAAUUACGUCUCUGCUUCAAUUUUAUCUCCAUUGUGACCAUUUUCUAUGGUUUUAGACUUUUAGUCCAGAGAGGUAUAGGGAACAGACCAAACUUUACAGAUCACAACCUACUAAAAUCUGAGAGUAAAUGCAAAUGAGGCAUAGCCAAAAGGAAGCUUUCAUUCGGUUUGUGGAUAAUUUGUUGGUAAACUGGAAAUCUCGACCUUUUCCAGCAAAGAAGGAAGUAAUUUUGAUGUGUUUUUAUGUCAAUUUGUUGAUACUUGAAUGUUGCAGUUAAAACGCCAAGCUUCAUACGCCAACUGCAAUAGGAACCCGGCAUUAUGUUCCAAAGAAAGUGUUGUGUUUUUUCCCCUUUAUGGAAACAAAGAUUUCACCGAAAUUAAGAUAAGCUUAAAAUCUGUAUUACAAAUAGUAACUCGAAGGGAGUCCAGCGAUAGCCGCGCCCCUAAUUCUUUUGAAGCACACUAUCCUGCCUAUCUAAACGACGAGUAUAGAUGCAUGACCAUUACUCUCUUUGCAAAAACCACAGAUUCAAGAAUAAAAAUGUUGGAUUUGAUGGUUGAUUGGUUGCUUUUUGAGACUGUAAUUUGAGUUGGAUUUGCAUUUACAUUUCAUUUACAGGAUAAAAUCAAAAUUUUUUUCUUGGGGUUUCACAGUAUCUGAAUCCGGACAUAAAGUUGGAGGUCUCCCAAGAUUUCUUUUUCCACUACAUCAAUAUUUUAUUGUCGUGGAUGAAUAAUUAAUAAUAGAUUUGCGUUUUCAUAUUGAUGGAAAAAUUUUAGGAAAAGCAGAAGACCCGAUACACCACUGUCAAAUAAUCAGAAUUCAUCCCUUGUAAGCAUAACUAUUCCCAACUAAACCAAUAUGAUUUUGUGAAAUAAACUUCGAUUCUUGGAUAAAUUUAGAUGUGUUGUCAUUUGAAAAGUUGGUUCAAUUCUGUAAAAGAAAAGGGAGAUGCAAAACGUCGAUCCAGGACGAAGUAGCACAAAAAAUGAAAAGCAAGAACUCUCAAAAUUCUUUUCAUUAGUUUUAUGAUGAUACAGAAUUUUUCUCCUCCAUCCUUGUGUAAAUUAUAUACAUUAUACAAGCAAGAACCCACACAUGCCCCAGUGUGUUUUGUUUGUACACUCGGUCCUCGAACCUUGUUUUAAAUGACCAAAAUUAAGGAUGUUUCUUCUAAAUUGUAAUCGAUAUAAGGCUCAGUUGGGACCCCAACAACUCAAGUACAUGACAGUCCUCAAAGCCUCUUCUGAUUGUUUAGACUGCCUCAGUCCUUUGCAAAUUGCGGCUGAGGAUUGAGAUGAGAGGUUCUUGGCCUGUGAAGCUGAUCUCAUGUGGUUCUUGGCAUGCUGGACAGCUGACCUUACAGUGUAGUUCCAUCUGCAGAUACCUUGGUCUUUCAGAGCCUCCACAGCUCCAAUACUAGCUGCAACAAUCCAUGCUCUGCUUGUUGAACUCAUCUUUGCAAAUACUUCUCUUAGAUUAUUGAAUCUUGAAUGCUGAAAUUGAAGAAAGCUUAUUAAGACGGAUAGACUGUGAUUUUGUUGAUUGAUGCUUAAGCGAGAAGGGGGCUGCUUAUAUUUAUAGGAUAGGGAUAGGGAUGGAUCAAAAAGCCAUAAACUGGGGGAAAGGAACGACAGGCUAUCUGCUCUAGCUCAUGGUUUUUGGAGACGAUGGUUUUGUUUGUUUUGGGCAGGUGGGUUGGACCUACUUGUAGUUAUCGUUAUGACCCCAAAUAGGUGAGGGCAAUGAAUGGGAUUUAGGAUAAUAAUUCAAUCCUGAGAUGAUUAAAGAUGGUCCAGGGGCACACCAUUUAUUCUAAAUAAUUAAAUAGCCAAUAAGGAGUAUGGGAGUACAAAAGUCCAAACCACCUGUUUUCUACCUCGGAAUUUGGAGGAAAACAAGAGGCAAAUUUUAGCACAUGACCAAACUCAGUGCCACCUACUGAGUUCGUCAUUGAAUAUUUACCGUCUCUUAGGUUAUGUGCUACCCAAUUCUCUAAUCCACGUUGCAGCGGGAUUGGCUGACACACUAGUAAUUCAUGCAAAUUAACUUAUUUUAUUAAAGUUCUAUAGUAUCGAACAUAUAUUCGAAUUUUGAACCAUAAAUUUUCCAUCAAAGUAGACCUUUCCUGGAAAAAAGAAUAAACUGAAGUGCUGGUAUUAACUAAAUAAUUAUUUCGGGAAAAGCAUUAACAAAAAUAAUUAGAACAAAAGAAUUGAAGAAACCCAGCCACUUACUUCAUGGUUGAGACUCAAAACAUGUCCUGUCUACGGUUUAAUUCCAAUUUUAAAGAUCCUCCAGGGAAGAUUUUUUUUUUCUUCAAAGAAAAAAGAGAUUGUCAUUAAUUUGAUGUAUUUUUUCCCACACUUUUUUAAUCUAUUUUAAUUAUAAUAAAUGUAUACAAUUUUUUAAUAUAUAUUUUAAUGCAUUCAUGAAUAAAUAAAUUUUAUUUAUAUUAUUAUCUUAAUUUUCAUAUUAGAGAUAAAUAUCGUCAUGUCUUUAUUUAUUUAGUUUUCCAUUACAAUUUCAUUUAGAAAAUAUGUAUUUAUGUUAUAUUUUAUUCAAAAAGAAGGAAAAAAAAAUUAUCCUGUUGUCAGAGAAAAUAGGAAGGCUUUCAUAGCCAUUCAAUAUAGAUUCCAAAUGAUAUAUCUACAAUUUUUAUAUUCCCUCGCCAUUCUUAAGGACUGUCAUCUAACAUACUACAACUUUAUACAUAUACAUGUAUGUUUGGAACAAUUGCAGGAGGAGGAAAUAUGUUGGCCUGAGAAUAUGAUCUGAGCUUGUUGUUGACAUGUUGGACCUUAUUACAUGAUUCUGCCUGCAAAAGCCUCAAUGUGUUUGAUUGCUCAGUCGUCGUUAAACCUUCUUCUGAAUGACCAAAGCUUGCACUCACGAGUCAAUGAUUCACCCAAAUAAAGGAUGUUUCUUCUAAAUUGUAAGCGAUUUUGACAGAUUUAAGGCUCAGUUGGGACCCCAACAACUCAAGUACAUGACUGUCCUCAAAGACUCUUCUGAUUGUUUAGAAUUGUUCAGUCCCUUUGAAAUUGCAGCUGAGGAUUGAGAAGAGAGGUUCUUGGCCUGUGAAGCUAACCUCACAUGGUUCUUGGCAUGCUGCACAACUGACCUUACCGUGUAGUUCCAUCUGCAGAUACCUUGGUCUUUCAGUGCCUCCACAGCUCCAAUACUAGCUGCAACAAUCCAUGCUCUGCUACUUGAACUCAUCCUUGCAAAUACUGUAAUCUUGAUUCUUGAAAUAGAAAUAGAAGCUUGUAUGAGAGAAAUACAGUGUGAUUUUGUUGGUAGGUAAGUGAAGGGGGCUGCUUAUAUUUAUAAGAUGGGGGAAUAAUGAUGAAUUACAAAGCCAAAAAUUAGAAGGAAACUACAGGCAAUUUGCCGGUGGUUUUCGACAGUGGUUUUUAGUGUUCUUUGGCAAGGUAGGUCCGACGCAUUUGGUAUAGUAUGACUUAAAUACCCAUCUAAAAUCACUUGAUGACAGGAAAUAAAUGAGGGCAAUAUAUAAAUUUAGGACAGCAUUCAAUCGUGACAUUAUUAAAAAUGAGCCGUGAGCACUUGUUUUUUAAUAAAUUUCAACUUGGACCUGAAAGAUGUGACUACAAAAAGUCUAAACCACCUGUUUUCUCCCCUGGGAUUGGGAAUUGGAAAACAGACUGCAAUUUUUUUUUUCAUUUUUUGAAAAAAAAAAAAUCAAAGUCCUCCUAGGGAAGAAGGUGCAAAUCCUAUAAUCUAGGGAAGUUUGUGUAAGAGCAUUUAGAGUAUCGAACCGACUCAGUGGUCUGUACCAGAUACGAAUUAGAGGUUGACACAUUUGAAUAUGUUAUGUUUGCCCAUGCAGAAGGUGUUUGGAAAGUUUUAACGUUCAGUAACUGUCCAAGAAAAGAGGGUUUAGAGGAUUCACGCAUUGGUGGUUGGAGAUUUUGAAUUGGCUCGGGAAAAAUGGGUUGUGGUCUGAAGUUGGUUUGAUUGCUAAUACUUGUUGGUCCUUUUGGAAGGCACGGAAUGAGUUGAUGUUUGACCAAUCCGUGCGUGCGAUUCGAUUGCGACUUGGAACAGAGCUUUGCUCGACAACCCUUGCGUUUCUGAAGGAAGCGAUCAAAUGAAACCGGUUCAUAACGUGAGUGAAAAUCAAAGAUGGAGAAAACCAACAUUUGGAACUGUUAAAAUUAACUGUGAUGCGUCGAUGGAUUCGGGUUCUCCAAUGACUGGUAUUGCAGCAAUUGCACGAGAUUAUAAUGGAAAAAUUAUUGACGGAACCAACGCAGUUGUUCGGACUACAUCUGUACGAGUGGCUGAGGCCUUGGCUUUAGGGCUUGGCUCGGUUCUUGAAAAAAGAUGGCAAUGGCAGUCUAUUAUCUUUGAAUCUAACAACAAAGAGUUGAUUUACUCUGUGAAAAGUAAAGUCGGUUAAAUUCUGAUAUCUCAGGAAAGCGUCAAAAAAAUAGAGUUGAAAAUUUGAAGAAAAAACAACAGAACUGAAACAGGGACAUUGAUUUCAGGAGAAAAUAGCACAAAGAAUGAAAAACAAACAAUUCUCAAAAUUCUUUUUAUUAGUUAUAUGAAGACAGAGAACUCAUUUCGUACAUCCAUUUGUAAGUUAUAUACAUUAUGCAAGCAAAGACCCCAGCCAUGCCCCCAGUCCUCAAACCUUGUUUCGAAUGACCAAAGCUUGCACUCGGGAGUCAAUGAUUCACCCAAAUUAAGAAUGUUCCUUGUAAUUGUAAUCCAUUUUGACAGAUUUAUGGCUCAGUUGGGACCCCAACAGCUCAAGUACAUGACAGUCCUCAAAGACUCUUCUGAUUGUUUAGACUUGUUCAGUCCCUUUGAAAUUGCAGCUGAGGAUUGAGAGGAGAGGUUCUUGGCCUGUGAAGCUGACCUCACAUGGUUCUUGGCAUGCUGCGCAACUGACCUUACUGUGUAGUUCCAUCUGCAAAUACCUUGAUCUUUCAGAGCCUCUACAGCUCCAAUACUAGCUGCAACAAUCCAUGCUCUGCUUGUAGAA
rnacentral:lncRNA from 1 species